AAAGAGCGAGGCGAGGGCGACUGUCAUUCGUCCAUGCGUGGUUUAUUCGUUCAUUUAGUCCCGAAUCGGAAAGCCGAGCACACACUCUCCUCCUUAAAUAUGCUGAGAGAGCAAGCAGGGCGUGCCAAAUGGAAGCACACCCCGAGCACGAGGUCGAUGAGACUCUCAUGCUGGUGGCCACGUGCGCGGCAUGCGCACUUAGCAAACCAAAAAUUGUUAAUCAACAUCAAAGUACGAGGCUGACCAUCAGCCAGCAACACGGCCAUCAAGAUCAGAUGGAGCGCAUGACAAAUGCGCUUGGCAAUACUUUUUUUUUAGUUUCUUCAACUAUUUUAUUACUUUCUUGGUUGAGCAAAUCAGAAACCGCUGAAAGCGCCUGGGAUGAUGGUCCCUUUCAGCGGCGAAUCUAUAAAAAAAUUGAAGGGUGGGCUUAAAGUUUACGCCGAGAAAAUUGAACACUCUUUUAAAAAAAAUGAUUAUCUCCUAAUACUUAUGUGCAAAUAAACUGAAAUUUUCCUAGAUUACUAAUGGAAACAUCUAGUACUAACUAGAAUUUUUUUCUAAGGUUUUCAAAAAUAUCAUAGAAAAAAUUAAAAAGAAUCGAACUUAAUUAGCGAGAUAGCCAUUAUCUUCAAAUCCAUUUGUCCAAAUAAGAUCAAACUUUCUCAGAUUAGCCUUCUUUCUCUUUAUCUUCAUUUCUUGAACGGCUUGGAAACCAACUGUGUAAUGAAACAAGGAUAGAAAUUAGUUAUAUUUGACAACAGAGUACCAUGCUACAACACAUCACUGAACAAACAUCAAAAGAAAGCAAAAAAAAAAAAAAAAGCCAGGUUACAGAGAAGAAAUCUACCAGCAGGGGAGCCUCGAUUGCCACGUGCGCGGUAUGCGCACUUAGCAAACCAAAAAUUGUCAAUCGACAACCAAGUACGCGGCUGAUCAUCAGCAACACGGCCAUCUCAAGAUCAGAUGGAGCGCAUGACAAAUGCGCUUGGCAAUAAUAAUACAACAUUUUUUAGUUUAAUAAUUAGGUGCUGCAAUUCCACUGGUGUGUUUUAGCUGCAACUCCAAUGGUGUUGAGUGCUCGGUGUGUUUUUUCCACCGGUAAUGCUUCUUGGGCGAGGAUUUGUAGCACGCAGGUCUCGCGGCACCGAGUCUCUCGCUCGUGCUUUUAUUUUUUGUUUUUAAUUUUUAAACUUUUAUAUCAUUUGAACGAAAAGGCUAAAUUAAGUUUUGUUUUCAUAUUUGUUUCUCGUGAUGAGGGCUCUCAAAUAAGAUCCAUUUUGAAUAUUUUGAUGAAUUUUGAAAAUAAAUGUUAAGUUUUAACUCUCAAAACUUAGUACAAGCGACUGAUAAAAAUAUGAUUUUUGUGCCUACAACCGACAAAAAGAUGUCUAUUUUUUUAUGUAUGAAACUUGCUAAGAGCAAAUUUUAACAUGGUAUCUCUUACCUCCUUUUUUUUACAUGUGUGAUAAAAAGGUAAGAAUUAAUUAGACCACUAAUUAAUAAGAUUAACGACUCAAUCUAUUAUUUACUCUUACCUCUCAUGUGAAAAGAAGAGGUAAGAGGGAUCAUGUUAAAACUGCUUGCUUUUUUUAAGUCUUAGUGGAAUGGUCAAAGUAACCUUCAAAUUGUCUUCUACCUCUAGCGCACGGUCUACCCCUUCCCCAAUCCAAUCAUCUCAUGCCUCUCCUCCAGUCGUUGAUGUACCUUGCUGGCAAUGUUGUGGCAGGCUGCGGCAUCCCCAUCUUCAGGUCGGCUCCGUCGAAUUCGACAGGAGUAAGCACAAAAAGACCCUCACCGAACCUAUCAAGUUUUGGACUCGUCUCUGCCUGCGACAACGCAAGCAGCAUCAUCAUCGCCGGCUCUGGCUCGGCCUUGCCAGUGUCCCUGCGCCUCGCUGCAGCUCACUAUAUGGCGCCCCAGGCAUCGCCUUCUCUCCGAUCCAAAAUCUCGCACAAAUAAUAUUUUCGUGGAUUUUUCAGCUAUAGUAAUCUGGAAAGAAAUUGGUUUAGAAUCCGGGAGUUUAAUAAAAAUACCGAAAUUUCUCAACAAUUUAGAAACAGCUAAGUUGUUGUGAGAAAUCCUUACUAGAAAACCAAUUAAGCCACAACCAAAGAUGACUAAUGGCUAAACAUCAAGCAAGCAAAGCCAGAUUCCACAAUGAACUGGUCACUGUUUUUCUCUUGGUGGCAUGCCAUGCCUUAAUGUCGUUGUGAGCUUUGCACUAAGAAAAAGAAUCAGUAUUGGGAAAAUCCAUCUCUGCACCCGAGCUCAUCUGCACCCACGCUAACGAAAAAAAUCAAAACAAAUGGUAGAAAAAUUCAAAAAAUUCCAAUUUUUUUAGUGCAGUAGAUAAUUUGUUGCGUGAGGUACGCUCCAAUUUUCACAUCAUUUGGACAUCUGAGGAGCUCUCAGCAAAAAAGACAAAUUGAGGGUCUAUAAAAAAUGUUUACUAUUCAAGUACUGUUUUGACCCGAUUUGUCUUUUUUGCUGAGAGCUGCUCAGAAGUCCAAAUGACUUGAAAUUUGGAGCGGGCCUCACGCAUCGAAUUUUCUACUGCACAAAAAAAAUUAGAUUUUUUUGAAUUUGUUUUAUAUUUUUUACGAUUUUUUCUAAGCGGGUGCAGAUAAGCCUGAGCACCGAAACGCCCUACUCGUUUUGCACAAUCUCAAUCGACAGUGGAUUGCGUAGUCUUUUAAUCUUCGUGCAGAGAUUUGUGCUAGACUGAGCACUGUCCAAAACUCUUGCAUCAGGUUGUCCCGUCGCUCACUGCGCCUGUCAUCGCCGGUUGUUGUAUGUCGUCUCACCGGUCAGAGCGUCCGCCCUCAUUGCUCGCAGGACGUCGUCCCAUUGUCAUUGCCUCUUGCAUCAUGUAAUCUCAUCGGUUGCAACAUCCGCCAUCGUUUCUCACAUCAUGUCUAAUAGUAUCUGCAAUUGCCGUUUGCAACAUGUCAUCCCACCGAUCGCAACGGCCAACCAUGCCGCUCAUAGCACCACAACUACGUUGACAUCACUCAAGUGAGACUUUGUUAAGUCUUUGUACACUGAGUUAUAUAUAGACCCAAAAGAAUACACCCUAGAUGAACAGGACGCAACGCGGACCCUAUGGUUCAGGCGAUGAUUCACAGUUGUUAUCAGGUAGCUGAGAUAUGUUUCACAGGUUCUACCAUCACCCUCUAGUUGAGAAUUUCAGAUGAAAUUGAGCAAUUGUGAGUAAGCCGACCUCGGUGUGUCUCCUCUUGGCUUCAGAAGAAAUAAAAUUCGAGGGUUGGUUUUGGAUUCAAAUGUGGAUUUCUUAUCUAUUUGUUGCCUGCUACAAAUCCCUCAUAUCACUUUUUAUCAUGAUAGAGAAAGCAGGAAUUGGAUAAGUGAUGUAUUUUUCUAUUUUAGGUUUUGUUCUUUUUGUAUGUAUAAUUUAAUUAAAUAAAAAUAUACAAUAGAACUAUUGUUCUUUUGGGGUCAAAAGAAGUUGGGUUCAUCAUGUAUGAGGCACCAGCUACUCCUCACCAUGACAACGGUAAAUGCAGUGCACGUUACGCAUGCAUCCAAAACGUGGCGGUCGGCAGGAAACGGGACAUUAAUGGACGUGGGCAGUUGGUACACAGCCGACCACCAUUAAUUGGCUCGCUUCCCGAUGCAACGACGUCUUCUGCCGUUUGCGCCAUGGACUAGGUCGGGAAAUGGGCCGCGCGGGAGGAUGAGGAGGGAGCUAAGACUUCCAUCCCGCCCAGACGGUUGGCUGAUGGCGCUCCAUAUCGAGGCCCCCAACCUCCAAAUAUUGUCUCGUGGGUCAUAUAUGAAGUGUGCUCCAGAAAUUAUGGUGGUCGAGGGUCGGAUGAUGACUCUGCUAGAGUGGUAUUUUUAAUCAAAAUCAUCACAUUAAAGUUUAGGGUUUUUAUCAUUUAUGCCACCAGUUGUAUCCCACUACUCAGUUUUGCCACUAAAAGUUACAACCGCUCAAAAAUGUCAUCGGUUCGUGAGAUGCUUACUCAAAAUGCCAUUAGAUAUAUAAAAAAUGCCAUUGUUUCGUUAGAUGUUUGCUCAAAAAUGCCAUUAGACAUUGUUAUUUUCAUGUCAAACUUGUUAACCAUCCAAUAUGACAAAAAAAGCCUAGACCCACAUUUCAGUUUUCUCUAUCACACAAUGAUAAGUGUGGCCUCACUUGUGAGGAGUAAGUAAGUGAAUAAUUUUACAGGAAAAUAAGAACGCUGUUGGGAUCAAGUGGACCCCAUACUUUAUUAUAGUGAGAUAAAAGGAGAGCUGGCAUGUUGGUCCAUAGGUAUUUAUGCCAUUAUAACAUGUCAAAAGAGAUUUGAGAUCCCAGUAAUGAUGUCUAGUGGCAUUUUUGAGCAUGUGUCUAACAAAGUGAUGGCAUUUUUUAACAGUUGAAAUUCCUAGUGGUGAUACUGAGUAGUGGGACACAACUGGUGGUAUAAAUGAUAAAAACCCUAAAGUUUAUUAUGUCAGUCGGGCCGAUAUGGCGACUCUGCUAGAGAUGCUCUAAUGUGUUAGCUUUUUGACAAAGGGUGGAUUCUAUCUGCUUAAAUGGAGCAUCAAGAGGAUGCAAAACACUAUCAGCGUACAUCCGCCCUCUGUGUAGUUAGGAUGCACACAACGAAGACCAACACGCACACAAACACGCCGACAACUAGCAAAGUCAUAUAAGAUCAAAGUUAUGUUAGGCAAGAAAAAAAAUAUGAUAUGUUAAUUACACUUGGACCUUGUUCGAAACACUAAAAUUACAAAAAUAAAUAAAUUUGAAACUAUUAAGUUGCAGCUGAAAUCAUGUAGACUCCCGAGCUCGAGAUGUCUUAAUCUAGAUAAUGUGAUGGCGGGGUUCUUGGAGGUUUAUCUUUGUGUCAGCUAAACUUGUUUUUCAUUGGUACGUCGUGCCGCCUCCUCCUUCUCCACAACAAAAGCUAGGGUUUCUGCGUCCCGCCGACGUCGCCGCAGGUCCGCCUCCUCUCCGGUGGCCCUAGGGCAAUGGGAGCGCGGUGGAUCUCGGCAAGGGCCGGCGGGAGGGCUCCGUUUUUUGUCGUUUCUUUCAGUUUUGCUAGGGUUUGUGCCCUGCUCAGGAAGACGAGACAGCGGCGGCUUUCUGAAGAUGCAGUAAAGGUCUCCCCGCCUAGGCCCCAUGGCGGCGGUGCAUCUAGCAUCGUUGGUGGGCGUGUGGAUGUGCGUCUCUGGCGGAUCUAUCUUUGGUGGAUUUGCUUGGAUCUCGUCAUUGUUCAUCUACGUUCAUGUGUCUUUGGAUUGGAUCUUUCUGAUCUACGCUAUUCUUCAUCUUCGGCGGUUGCUGUUCUGGUGCGCUGGUCCUACAGGGCCUUAGCACGACGACUUCCCGACUAUCUACUACAACAAAUUGUGCCCGACUCCGGCGAUGGAGGGGCGAUGACGGCAGCGCGCCUUCGGCUCACUUCAGUGGUGGUAGUCGUCGCUAGGUGGUCUACGGAUCUGGAUGUAAUUUCUAUUAUUUCUGGUAUUCGUUAUACUGCCAUGAUUGAAGAUGAAUAGAUCAGAAAUUUUCUCGCAAAAAAAAACUUGUUUUCCAUUUUGGGCUAUCAUAAAUUCAUGAUCUUAAUUACACGGCUAAUUCAAUCCCGUACCAAAAUGGCUUACGCUGCGUUUGGAUGUCUCCAUUGGUGAGCUCCGUAUUGAAUUGGUCUGGAAUUCCCAAUCAAUGAGGAAAUUGAAAUGGCAUGAAUAUGAAUUCGCCUGUUUGGUUGUUCACUGAAUUGCCCCUUGAAAUGCCUCUGAGGUUUCAAUACCAAAUCCUGUUUGGAUGACGAACUUUUGGAAUUGCACUAUAUUGCCAUGAAAAUUAUACCUUGUUCUACAUGACUCAAAAAUGAAAUCUGGUCACAUGUGACUAUAAUUAAAUGAAUAUAUAGCAGUGAGAUAAUAAAUAUUCUAGCGAUGCAUCUCCUUUGGCCAUGGAGCAGAAGAGGAGCAGCACCAUGGAGCAGAAGAGGGGCGGAGGACGGCGGGCCGGGAGGACGGAGGGGCGUGGCCGUGGAGGGCGGGGCAAGGUGGCCGGGGAGGACGGCGGGGCGUGGCACAAGGGAGCGGAGCGGGGCGCGCCGGUCCUGGCCCGUUGCCGACCUCCUUGGCGGGGUGUGGCUCAGUGGGGCGGAGAACAGGAGUUGGGGAAGAGGGAAAGGACCGGGAGGAGGGCACAUGUGCCGCCGUUGGACUCCAUGGUGGUUACCGCCGCCACCUACCUGCUAGGUCGCCGCCGCCGCCCGCCUACUACUCGUCGCAAGGUCGCCUUCUCGUAUCCCCUCCUUUCUUCUUCUAUUUUCUGGUCGCGGGCUCGAAUAGGUACGUUUUGCAUGAGGUUGGCCAUUUCAGUCCAAUUCGAAGGGGUAGCCCUCCGAAACGUGCUAGGGGUAUUUACGUGGUAGCCAAAACAGGACGGAAUUGGUUUUUCAUUUCCAAUACGAAUUCAGUGUCUAGCCAAACAGCAGUAUUGAUGUGAGAUGAUUACCAAAUCCGUUUCCAGGGCUCCAGCCUCCAAUGGAGACAUGACAUCCAAACGCAGCGUUAUGGCAAAGCAGCAGCCAGCAAGCAAAGCCAGGCUCAUCCUGGAACUGGACAAUUGAUAUACAGAAUUUUCCUUUCUUGAUGAACCCUGUUUCAGUGUUUCUACAAGUACUACACGAAGUAAANNNNNNNNNNNNNNNNNNNNNNNNNNNNNNNNNNNNNNNNNNNNNNNNNNNNNNNNNNNNNNNNNNNNNNNNNNNNNNNNNNNNNNNNNNNNNNNNNNNNNNNNNNNNNNNNNNNNNNNNNNNNNNNNNNNNNNNNNNNNNNNNNNNNNNNNNNNNNNNNNNNNNNNNNNNNNNNNNNNNNNNNNNNNNNNNNNNNNNNNNNNNNNNNNNNNNNNNNNNNNNNNNNNNNNNNNNNNNNNNNNNNNNNNNNNNNNNNNNNNNNNNNNNNNAUUCCAAGUGCUCCAGACAUUAGUCAGUAGGCGCACAGCUCCACCCGUCAAGUAGUCCCGAGGUCGGAGACGGGGCACGGCCCAGCUAGCUAGCUACACACACUCUGUCGAAACGGAGCCCAGCACGGCGUCAAAACUCCAAGUGGAAAGCGACUGUCGUGCAUUCGUGGUCCAUUCGGUUUGUUUAGUCCCAUACCGGAGAGCCGAAGAGCCGAUCUCCUCCUCAAAUACGCUCCGAGAACAGGAAUGGCGUGCCGAAUGGAGGCACACCCCGAGCACGAGGAGACUCGUGUGCUGGUGGUCCCGUGCACGGUACGUGCACUUAGCGAACAAAGAAUUAUGGAAUUUGCAAUGACCCCAAUAUGGGCCACCAACCAGCUAGAGCGCAUGACAUAUGCGCUUGGUGAUCCAAAAUAUUUUUUAAACCCUUUAUUUUUCUUCUUGAUGAUUUUCUUGCAGGGAAAAAAGGAUAAUGAUAUUUUUUGCAGGAAAAAAAAGGAUGAUGAUAGAAUUAAACAAAUGGGGCGCAUUGCAUUGCAUGCGCUCUUGGCAAUCUCUUUUAUGGUUCUUCUUUUUUACACAUGUUUUGUUCCUGAUGUUAGUGAUCCUUUUGUGUAUGAUGAUGAUCCCUGUUCCCUCCUUUAGGGGUUACGAGGAUGUUACUGAUCCUUUGAGUACAUAACGGGUUCACAAAAGUUUGCAAUGGUAUACUUGUUUUAUGGUACUCCAAUCAGCGACAAUUAAUAUGGAUCAAAGGGAGUACAUCAAUUUUUUGCGGGGAUAUGAUGCACAAUUUUUAUUGGUUUAUUUAUGAUCAAAUUAAAUCUCAAAAAUGCAUGCUGACCUUAGAAUGGGGAAAUAAUUAGGAGCUGCAAUUCUAGUGGUGUUUAAAGUGCACACGUGAUCUUUUACCUUUACGUCGGCAAUGUUUAAUUUUUUGCGGGGAUAUGGUUCACAAUUUUUAUUGGUUUAUUUCAUGAUCAAAUUAAAUCUAAAAAAUGCAUCUGACCUUAGAAUGGGGAAAUAAUUAGGAGCUGCAAUUCUAGUGCUGUUUAAAGUGCACACGUGAUCUUUUACCUUUACGCCGGCAAUGUUUAAUUUUUUGCGGGGAUAUGGUUCACAAUUUUUAUUUGUUUAUUUUAUGAUCAAAUUAAAUCUCAAAAAUGCAUUUGACCUUAGAAUGGGAAGUAAUUAGGAGCUGCAAUUCUAGUGCUGUUUAAAGUACACACGUGAUCUUUAUCUUUACGCCGGUAAUGUUUAUUGUGUGCGACUUGACACAUAGAUCCUAUCCUUAACACUCGGUCAAUACUGGACGAAGAGGUUCGUAACAAUUUUGAUAAAAAGUCAAGGUUUCAAAUAAUGUGUGCCCCUCAAGAAUCAUCGGUUGAUUUAUUCAUGGUUCAAAUCCACAACAUUCAUACAACAACAAAAAAUUAAUCACUCUAGUGGCUACGGGUAUGUGAAUUUUUAACUCUAGUAACUAAGCAAUUUUCCUGUGUGCUAGCAUGGAAAUUCAAGGCUUAAUUUAAGAUGAAUUAUGUAUGAAGGAAAUGACCUGAAUCAAAAGCUAUUUUCGGAAAAUAGAAAUGGUGCGUACUUACUUUGUGUGCAAGCAAAAGAGUAUGCAUGUACGUUGGGCAGUAGCAGCUGCAAAAAAUAAAUUGGGUCUACAUGGGCUAAAAAUAGUGUUAGUGGAUGUUAAUGUGGCACAUUUGGUGAGAUGGAAGGUUACAUGCUGAGAAAAUUAAAUAUAAUUGGAGAUCAAUGGUUCAGAGAUAUAGAAUUCGAAAGGGGAACAACAGGUGUUACGGUACCCCUUCAUUGGCGACCUAAAGCAAACAGGCGACAAGUUUCCCUGUCUCCCGUUGGCGGCACCGCCGAUCUGCCUCAUCUUUUGUGGCCUCGGGGCCAUGUAGACACGAUGGAUCCAACCCUUGUUGGCGCGAGGGCUUUGUUUUUAGGUCUUUUUUGUUUGGUUAGGGUUUGUGUCCUACUCAGCAAGGAGAGGAGGCGGCGACUCCCUGAAGAUGAAAUAAGGUUCUCCCUACCUAGCCAUAAUCAUGAUGGUGCGUCUAUGGUCUCGGAGGGCGUGUGGAGGUUUAUCUCAAGCUAAUAUCGCAGGUUUCGGUCGGCGUUGGCCUCUAGUGGAUCUUCUUGGAUCUAGUCUUCGUUCGUCUACGCUCGUGUGUCUACAAGUUGGAUCCUUCUUAUCGCUUCUCUUCAUCGACAAUGGUUGUUCUGGGGUGCUGGUCCUUUGGGAUUUUAGCAUGACGACAUCCCAACUAUCUAGCACAACAAGAUUUGCCCGACUCUGGUGAGCAAGGGGCUAUGAAGCCAACACGUCUUUGGCUCACUCCAAUGCUUGUAGCCAUCGUUAGGUGAUCUACGGACCUGAAUAUAAUUUGUAUUACUUCUUUUGUUUUUCGUACUAUCAUGACAGUUGAUGAAUAGAUCAAAUAUUUUUCCCGCAAUGAUAACAAAUAAUUAAAAGGCUUAAGUUAUCGAGGAUUUUACGCUGGUAAUGUUUAUUGUGUGCUCUAUGACUUGACACCUAGAUCCGAUCCUUAUCGCUGGCUCAAUACUGGAUGAAGAGGUUCGUCGCAAUUCUGAUGAAAAGUCGAGGUUUCAAAUAAUGUGUGCUCCUCUUUUUUUCCUUAAUGAAAAAAGGCGCAACCCAUGCCAAGAAUCAUCGGUUGAUUUAUUGAUGGUUCAAAUCCACAACAUUCACAUAACCAGAAAAAAUUAAUCACUCUAGUGGCUACGGGUUUGUGAAUUUUCAACUCUAGUAACUAGGCAAUUUUCCCAUGUGCUAGCACGAAAAUUCAAAGCUUAAUUCAAGAUGAAUUAUGUAUGAACGAAAUGACCUGAAUCAAAAGCUAUUUUUGGAAAAUAGAAAUGUUGUGUACUUACAUUGUGUGCAAGCAAACGAGUAUGCAUGUAUGUUGGGCAGUAGGAGCUGCAAAACUUAAAUUUGGGUCUGCAUGGGCUAAAAAUAGUGUCAGUUGAUGUUGAUGUGGCACAUUUGGUGAGAUUGAAGAUUACAUGUUGAGAGGAUUAAAUAUAAUUAGAGACAAUUAUUUAGAGAUACAGAAUUCGAAAGGGAGACAACGGGUCACUUACGGUACCCCUUCAUUGGCGACUUGAAGCAAACAUGCGACGAGUUUCCCUAUCUCCUUCGUCGGUAGCACCGCCGAUCUGCCUCGUCUUUUGUGGCCUCGGGCCAUGGAGACACGAUGGAUCCCGACCCUUAUUGGCGGGAGGGCUUUGUUUUGUAGGUCUUUUUUGUUUGGUUAGGGUUUGUGUCCUACUCAGGAAGGCGAGGAGGCGGUGACUCACUGAAGAUGGAAUAAGACCCCCCCCCAGCCACCGCCACGAUGGUGCGUCUAUGGUCGUCGGAGGGCGUGUGGAGCUUUGUCUCAGGCUAAUAUCGUGGGAUUCGGUCGGCGUUGGCCUCCAGUGGAUCCGCUUGAAUCCUUAGUAUAUGCUCGUGUGUCUAUAGGUUGGAUCCUUCUUAUCGCUUCUCUUCAUCGACAAUGGUUGCUGUUCUGGGGCGCUGGGAUUUUAGCACGACGACUUCGCGACUAUCUAGUACAACAACAUUUGCUCGACUUCGGUGAGCAAGGGGCUAUGACGGCAAGGCGUUUUCGGCUCGCUCCAGUGCUUGUAGUCGUUGUUAGGUGAUCUACGGACCUGGACAUAAUUUGUAUUACUUCUAGUGUUCUUCGUACUGCCAUGACAAUUGAUGAAAGAUCAAAAGUUUUUCCCAUAAAAAUAAUAAUAAUAAUAAGGGUUAAGUUGUCGUGAGAAAUGAGAGGGAUGGUCUUCAGUUUCAAAAGAGGUCUCAAGUCCAAAUAUUCUGGUUGGUUUCUUCCAGUUUUUGCCUCUGAAAUUUUUAUAUUUUCCCAAUUUAGACUUGGUCAUAAGCCCUAGAAAGCUUGUUAAUCCCCGGUAGCCCAGACAAAGAUGACUUAUGGUAAAACAGCAAGCAAGCCAGAUUCCAUUCUAAGGUUAGAUUGAUCGUGUGCAAGUCAAAGAUUUUGUCCUAUUUGUAGGGUUUGAGCUCUCAAUUUGCCUAACUCCAUGUCAGCUAGCAUGAUUCAAGGAGGUGGUUAAAUUGUUAAGUAUGUUGGACCAAAUCAUGGUUCCAUGCAUGCCAAAAGGGCAGGCUAUUGAAGGGCCAAAAUACCACCCUAUGUCCCUAUUAGCCAGCACCAGGCAUGUGGUGGUACUACUAAUGCUGUCUGACUCCUGCUUAGGAUGCCUAUGAAUGAUAAUUUGUUAACUACUACUCAGACCUUGUUCGGGGCCAAUAGCUCCUGUGCAACGUUUUUGAUCUGAAUUAGAAGGAGUGCGAUGUUGUUGGAAUGAAUGGUUGUGAUGCGACAAAUUUGAGCGUGUAAAUAGCCCAGGGCCACAUGGGGUGUUAAAUGUGGUUAAAUUGGUCGUCAACAGACAAACCUGUUUAUGUUAGGACAUGUGGGUCCAACUUAAUUGGUCCUCAAAACAGCUGACCGUGCCCUGCCGCCCGACCGUGCCGGGCCCGCCACUCUGCACCCCCCUUCUUCUCCGGUGGCGGCGGAUCUUGCGUUCUCGGUGGCGGUGGCGGAGCCCUUGUUCUCAACGGCGGCGGAGCCUUUGUCCUCAGAAAAUGGUGAGUGAAUUCGAACCCUAGUCGCCCUCCUGUUCCUCUCUCGGACCCGGAGAUCUCAGCUCGUUUCCUCUGUUUUCGCUUGUUGAAUCGAUACCUUGUGAGGGGAGCCCGUGGGCAUACUGAGAUGGAGCCGCCAGAUCCAACUUCGAAUAGGUAAUGCGCCUCUCUCCGAUCCAAUUUUGCAUGCAAUUAGGGCCUCGUCUGCUCUUUCUCAUGGGCUCACACUGUCCGCCACUGACAGGGAUGCUGCCGCGAAUUGACAGUCAAUUUCUUUCCAUCAAAGGCAAAAUUAGUUGAUGGUAGCAUACAGAACAUUGAGAGAGACACAAUUGUUAAAUGGGAGGUUGAGUUUACAGAGAUUGAUCCACAAGUUCUACAGAACAUGGGAGAGACGGCAGUGAAGAAAUGGGUGGAAAAAUUGGGGAGAAUAUUGUUUGGGGUCCAGAGCAAGAAGUAUCACUGUUGCGGUUUGAUGAUUGGAAAGGAGAGUAUGUGAGAAUAGAAGAUGGUGAACAGAUUGUUGAAGAAAUCGAUCGGCAAAACGGUUGGACAAGCAAACGGGCUAAUUUUGUUGCUGAGCUCGUUGAUCUGAACAUUUUUUUCGAAGGUUGGAUAUGUGCCAUCACAAUUGGAUGCGCAGAUGGUAGAUGAUGAUUGGGCUACAUAGAGGCCAUUGAUUCCCAUGUGUACUGAACUUACAGUAAUAGCCGAAGAGGGACAGGUGACUGGAACUGAAACUGAAACUGCAGCAACUGUUGAUUGGAAUGUAGUUGAAUUAGAUGAGCCUACUGAUUUGGUCAUUGCACCAAUGCCUGACAUUGAGAUGGCCAAACUUUUUGGCAUUCCAGUCGAUGACAUAGAUAACCAGGAGAGGGGCGAAUCUAGUUUGCCUGCUAAUGCUGAUGAAGAAGUAGAUGGACAGUUGAUGGAACAAGCUGCAGAUGAAGUAGAUGAUGCACAUGAUGAUGAGCUGGUGCAUGUGUAUGACAAAGAAAACCCUGUCAUUGAAGUAGGCGAGUUGUUCCCAAGUAUGAAGGAGUUUAGGAUGUGUUUCAAGACUUAUGCAGUGAAACAUGAGUUUGAUGCCAAGACUAUUUGGACUGAUAGAAAGAAGUUUUAUGCGAGGUGCAGAGGAUUUGAUGGUAGUGUGAAGCCUUGGAUUUGAUGGUAGUGUGAAGCCUUGCAAGUGGUACAUAUCUGCUAGACUGCAACCUGAUGGAAGUACUGUCAGGGUUAACCAAAUCCCCAAUCAACAUACUUGUAUUACAAGUUCACAGAGAGUAUCAGCCAUGACAUCACAACUUUGGGUUGUAGAAAAGAUCACCCCAAUUUUAGCCAAAACACCAAACACUACUGCCAAGAAACUCAAAGUAGACUUGGAAAAGAUGUACCCCAUUAAACUGAAAUAUACCACAGUGUGGAAGGCAAAACAAAGGGUAAUGAAAAAUUUAUAUGGUGAUUGGGCAAAUACAUUUAGGAUGCUUUACAACUUCAAAGCAGAGGUGGAAAAGAGGUCACCUGGCAAUGUUGUGGAGAUAGAUACAGAGGUAUCAGCCGAAGGUGAAGUCAAGUUCUCCAAGUUUUUUAUGGCUUUGAAGCCUUGCAUCGAUGGGUUCAAAGCAGGGUGUCGUCCAUAUUUGAGCAUAGACUCAUCAUUUUUGACAGGCAAGUGGAAUGGUCAGUUGGCAGCAUGCAAUGCUCUAGAUGGACACAACUGGAUGUUUCCUAUUGUUGUUGGCUUGUUUCAGUCAGAAACAGAGGCUUCAUGGACAUGGUUCAUGAUCCAGUUGAAAAGAUGCCUAGGGUCAGUGUCACCUUUGGCUAUACACACAGAUGCAUGUAAGGGGCUUGAAAAUUCAGUGAAAAAUGUUUUCCCACAUGCUGAGCAGAGGGAGUGCUUCGGUCAUUUGUGGAUGAAUUUGAUCAAAAAAAUUAGAGGAGAAGAAUUGGGGCGCAUGUGGCCAGCAGCAAGAUCUUACACUAGACAGACACACAAAUAUCAUCUUGAUAAGAUAAUGGCAGCAUGUGAUGAGUUUGGUCCAUGGUUGAACACCUACCAUUCUUUGUUAUGGUACAUGUCAGCAUUCAACACUGCCAUCAAGUGUGACCACAUGAACAACAAUUUGGCAGAGAGUUUCAACAACAAGGUGAAGAAGUUAAAAGAUUUGCCUGUGCAUGACAUGGUUGACCAAAUCAGGAUCAUGCUCAUACGGUUGUGGGAAUUGAGAAGAAGGAUAGGUGAUUGUCUGCAAGGUGAUAAGCUUCCAGCAGUGGUACAACAGGUGGUCAAUAGGAGCAGAUGUCUUUCACAUUUGUUUGUUGAAAAAUCUUCACCUUGGGGUGCUGAAGUUAGAGAUAACAAAACUGGAAGGAGACAUGUUGUUAACACUGAAUUGCAUGAUUGCACUUGCCUCGAGUGGCAACACACUGGUAAACCAUGUGAGCAUGCCAUUCUUUUCUUAGCAUCCCAACCGAAGAUAAACAUGCAACCAUAUUUGCAUGAAUAUUAUUCGGUAGCAAGAUUCAAAGCUGCAUAUGCUACUCCAAUUCCAGCACUUACAGAUCAGUCUCAGUGGCCUGAAGUGGACAUUGAAUUUUCCAUGUGUCCUCCCUUGACGAAAAGAAAGGUUGGCUGGCCUAAACAGAGUAGAUUCAAGGCAUGGUUUGAAAAAGGUGGGAGUAGUAAGAAGGGAAAGAAAGAUGGAAAGCCAAAAAGGGCCCAAAAGGUAACAAAAACAAAUGCAAGUUGUGCCAGGAACUUGGGCACAGAGUGGGAUCUGUCAAAUGCCGUUACACUCCUGAUAAGCCAAAGUAUGUUCUUGUUUAUUUGUCUGUGUUUUGAUUUGGUGCUUUUUUCCAAUUACUAUAUCUAUAACAUUUUCCCAAUGGCCAGGAGGAAGCGAGCAAGUCAGCACCUUGUUGUUGAACAAUGUUGGCCAACAAGAAAAGCAAGAGUCAAUGGCGGUAGAAAGAAGAGAAGUGUGCCUGAGCCUGAGCAGACUGAAGAAAAUCCUGCUGCAGUCAACAUUCAGACUGAAGAAACUGAUGUGGAGGUGCACACCGAAGAAACUGAAAUUGCAGUCAACAUUCAGACUGAAGAAACUGCUCUCGAGGUUGAAACUGAACCUGAGCGUGUUGAGGUUCAGACUGAAGAAACCCAUGUUGAGGUACACACCAAAGAAACUGAAACUGUUGUCAACAUUGAGACUGAAGACACUGAUCACGAGGGUGUUGGCGAGGUGUUGAAAAGACCAGUGAAGAAAACCAAGAUGAUCAGUGAACUUGUGUGUGUAGUAGAACCAAAAACAAGAAGUGCUAAGGCGAAGAAGGGCACGCGACGUGGUAGGAAGAGGUAGAACAGAGAACAGUUUGAAAAUUUGGGGCAUGUAAUAAUAUUUGUAACUUGGUGCGUACUGGUAGUCACUAUGUAUCCCUGUAUUUCUAUUCGAACUUGUUUGUUGGUACCUUGUCUAAACCAGCCAAAUAAAAUUCAAAUUUAAAUUCAAAUUUGGGCUCAAAUUUGAAUUAGGGAUGGGGUAUUGAUGUUUUAAUGCUAUCUAAAGUAUCUCAACUGAAAUAUGUUUGCUUGUUGAUCAUUCCGAGCCCUUUUGGUAAGUUGAACUCAUAGUCAUGAAAAGUGUGUUUCAAAUGACCUCCAAAGGUAGGGUAAACGGCCUCAUAUUUAAGCAAGUUUUUUUGGCACCUUGUCUAAACCAGCCAAAUAAUUUUUCUACACAUCUAUUCUACCUAUAUAGUGUAAAUCUAAAGUCUUACUAUUUAUUGAAUUAAUUUUCUAUUAUUUUCUUUUAUUUUUGAAAAAACAAGGUUUAAUAGAAAAUUAUAUAUAAAACAAGUUUAAAACAUGAAAAUGAGAAAAGUAAGUUAAGAUCUUUCUUAGUCAAUCCAAAAUGAAGUUUUGGUGAGGUUUUCACACUUUUCAUUUUCAAAACCCCACCUACUCUCGGGUGCCCACUACUCUCCCUUGAACUCCAUACUACAUUGUUCGAGGAAUGACAAUUUUGUGAAGGAUUUUUCGUAAAAAUGUAUGUAAACCAUAUUUAUAUUAUUUUUUCUCGUUACUAUACGACAUAAUAAGACUAUGUGCGCAAGUUUUAUAUUUUUUUGAUUUUUUUGAAUUAGUUAUGCUCAACCCUAAUCAGUCAAAACCCCUCAAAACCUCUCAAAACCCCUCAAAACCCCGCACACUACCGGGUCGUCGAUCCUUGUGCGUGGACGGUUGAGAUCAGGCGCUAGGGUUAGCUACAGUGUGCAUCGAUCCGCAUGAGACGCGUUGAUUGGCUGAAUCGGUGGGGUUUGGAUCAGCCUCUCUAGUUGGGGCAUCAGGACCGUUCAUUUGAAUCCAACGGCAAGAGUUGACGCGGUGCAUGGACCAAGCCUACGCAGUGCCCUUUGAAGGAAAUAGGCCCUAGAGGCAAUAAUAAAGUUAUUAUUUAUUUCCUUAUUUCAUGAUAAAUGUUUAUUAUUCAUGCUAGAAUUGUAUUAACCAGAAACAUAAUACAUGUGUGAAUACAUAGACAAACAGAGUGUCACUAGUAUGCCUCUACUUGACUAGCUCGUUAAUUAUAGACGGUUAUGUUUCCUAACUAUAGACAUGAGUUGUCAUUUGAUUAACGGGAUCAUAUCAUUAGGAGAAUAAUGUGAUUGACUUGACCCAUUCCGUUAGCUUAACACUUGAUCGUUUAGUAUUCUGCUAUUGCUUUCUUCAUGACUUAUACAUGCUCCUAUGACUAUGAGAUUAUGCAACUCCCGUUUACCGGAGGAACACUUUAUGUGCUACCAAACGUCACAACGUAACUGGGUGAUUAUAAAGGUGCUCUACAGGUGUCUCCGAAGGUACUUGUUGGGUUGGCGUAUUUUGAGAGUAGGAUUUGUCACUCUGAUUGUCGGAGAGGUAUCUCUGGGCCCACUCGGUAAUGCACAUCACUAUAAGCCUUGCAAGCAUAGCAACUAAUGAGUUAGUUGCGGGAUGAUGUAUUACGGAACGAGUAAAGAACCUUACCGGUAACGAGAUUGAACUAGGUAUUGAGAUACCGACGAUCGAAUCUCGGGCAAGUAACAUACCGAUGACAAAGGUGUUGGAAAUAUGCCCUAGAGGCAAUAAUAAAUGGUUAUUAUUAUAUUUCUUUGUUCAUGGUAAUUGUCUAUUAUUCAUGCUAUAAUUGUAUUGUCCGGAAAUCGUAAUACAUGUGUGAAUACAUAGACCACAAAGUGUCUCUAGUAAGCCUCUAGUUGACUAGCUCGUUGAUCAACAGAUAGUCAUGGUUUCCUGACUAUGGACAUGGGAUGUCGUUGAUAACGGGAUCACAUCAUUAGGAGAAUGAUGUGAUGGACAAGACCCAAUCCUAAGCAUAGCAUAAAAGAUCAUGUAGUUUCGUUUGCUAGAGCUUUUCCAAUGUCAAGUAUCUUUUCCUUAGACCAUGAGAUCGUGUAACUCCCGGAUACCGUAGGAGUGCUUUGGGUGUGCCAAACGUCACAACGUAACUGGGUGACUAUAAAGGUGCACUACGGGUAUCUCCGAAAGUGUCUGUUGGGUUGGCACGGAUCGAGACUGGGAUUUGUCACUCCGUGUGACGGAGAGGUAUCUCUGGGCCCACUCGGUAAUGCAUCAUCAUAAUGAGCUCUAUGUGACUAAGGCGUUAGUCACGGGAUCAUGCAUUACAGUACGAGUAAAGAGACUUGCCGGUAACGAGAUUGAACAAGGUAUUGGGAUACCGACGAUCGAAUCUCGGGCAAGUAACAUACCGAUUGACAAAGGGAAUUGCAUACGGGAUUGAUUGAAUCCUCGACACCGUGGUUCAUCCGAUGAGAUCAUCGUGGAACAUGUGGGAGCCAACAUGGGUAUCCAGAUCCUGCUGUUGGUUAUUGACCGGAGAGGCGUCUCGGUCAUGUCUGCAUGUCUCCCGAACCCGUAGGGUCUACACACUUAAGGUUCGGUGAUGCUAGGGUUGUAGAGAUAUGUGUAUGCGAAAACCCGAAAGUUGUUCGGAGUCCCGGAUGAGAUCCCGGACGUCACGAGAGGUGAAGAAUUAUAUAUAGGAAGUCAAGUUUCGGCUACCAGGAAAGUUUCGGGGGUUACCGGUAUUGUACCGGGACCACCGGAAGGGUCCCGGGGGUCCACCGGGUGGGGCCACCUAUCCCGGAGGGCCCCAUGGCCUGAAAGUGGAAGGGAACCAGCCCCUAGUGGGCUGGGCGCCCCCCCCAUGGGCCUCCCCCCAUGCGCCUAGGGUUGGGAACCCUAGGGUGGGGGGCUUCCCCCUUGCCUUGGGGGGCAAGGCACCCCCUUCCCCCCUUUGGCCGCCCCCCCCCCCCCUUGAGAUCCCAUCUCCAGGGAUGGCGCCCCCCCCAGGGGGCCUAUAUAAAGGGGGGAGGGAGGGCGGCAACCUACAGCCUUGGGCGCCUCCCUUCUCCCCUGCAACACCUCUCUCUCUCUCUCGCAGAAGCUCGGCGAAGCCCUGCCGGAGACCCGCUACAUCCACCACCACGCCGUCGUGCUACUGGAUCUCCAUCAACCUCUCCUUCCCCCUUGCUGGAUCAAGAAGGAGGAGACGUUGCUACACCGUACGUGUGUUGAACGCGGAGGUGCCGUCCGUUCGGCACUCGGUCAUCGGUGAUUUGGAUCACGGCGAGUACGGCUCCGUCAUCCACGUUCAUUGGAACGCUUCCGCUCGCGAUCUACAAGGGUAUGUAGAUGCACUCCCUUCCCCUCGUUGCUAGUACACUCCAUAGAUGCAUCUUGGUGAGCGUAGGAAAAUUUUAAAUUAUGCUACGAUUCCCAACAAAAGGGAACAAUGUAUGUUGUUAUGCGGUUUGACCGAUAAAGAUCUUCAUAGAAUAUGUGGGAGCCAAUAUGAGCAUCCAGGUUCCGCUAUUGGUUAUUGACCGGAGACGUGUCUCGGUCAUGUCUACAUAGUUCUCGAACCCGUAGGGUCCGCACGCUUAAAGUUUGAUGACGGUUAUAUUAUGAGUUUAUGUGUUUUGAUGUACCGAAGGUAGUUCGGAGUCCCGGAUGAGAUCGGGGACAUGAAGAGGAGUCUUGAAAUGGCCAAGACGUAAAUAUCGAUAUAUUGGACGACUAUAUUCGGACUUCGGAAAGGUUCCGAGUGAUUCGGGUAUUUAUCGGAGUACCGGAGAGUUACGGGAAUUCGCCGGGGAGAAGUAUUGGGCCUUAUUGGGCCAUACGGGAAUAGAGGAGAGAGGCCAAAAGGAAGGAGGCGCGCACCCCCCCCCCCUCUGGUCCGAAUUGGACAAGGGGUGCAGACCCCUUUUCCUUCUCCCUCUCCCCCUCUUUCCUUCUCUCCUACUCCAACAAGGAAAGGAGGAGUCCUACUCCCGGUGGGAGUAGGACUCCCCCCUUGGCGCGCCCUCCUCCUUGGCCGGCCGCCUCCCCCCUUGCUCCUUUAUAUACGGGGGCAGGGGGCACCCCAUAGACACAACAAUUGAUCAUUGAUCUCUUAGCCGUGUGCGGUGCCCCCCUCCACCAUAUUCCACCUCGAUAAUAUCGUAGCGGUGCUUAGGCGAAGCCCUGCGUCGGUAGAACAUCAUCAUCGUCACCACGCCGUCGUGCUGACGGAACUCUCCCUCAAAGCUCGGCUGGAUCGGAGUUCGAGGGACGUCAUCGAGCUGAACGUGAGCUGAACUCGGAGGUGCCGUACGUUCGGUACUUGGAUCGGUCGGAUCGUGAAGACGUAUGAAUACAUCAACCGCGUUGUGAUAACGCUUCCGCUUUCGGUCUACGAGGGUACGUGGACACACUCUCCCCUCUCGUUGCCAUGCAUCACCAUGUUCUUGCAUGUGCGUAGGAAUUUUUUUGAAAUUACUACGUUCCCCAACACCCUUUCCAUCGUUGCAUGCGUGCCCGUGCCUACCCACAACAUGCAUGCCCACCCGCAGAACUGCGCCCGUGCGUUGCAUGCAUGCCCUCGACGUAGCCCUGCUCCGCCACCCCUAUCGACGCAGUAAGCUGUCGCAUGCCUACCAUUAGAACCGAUGCAGCGUCGCAUCAAAGCAUGCACCCGGCCACAAUGCAACAGCCCGAUGAAGACAACCAAAAAGCCAACGCUGCAUGGCGUGCUGUGCAUGGCGUGCUCCUCUUUGAGGACGCAAUACUGGCAUGGGGUAUCGAUGUGGGUAUCGAUGCAGUUCAAACGGCGUGCUGCCCGUUACAAGAUGGGCAAAUGAAGGCGUCCAUUAUUGUCACGUCUCCCAUUGACCGAACGUUGCCCUCUAGCCAGGCCCUAGCAAGAUGGGUAAAUUAAUGGGCUACGGCAUGAAUGCACGGGCGGCGCACGCAGAGAACUCAGGGCAGGCGUGUCCCCUUGACCCACGACGGCACAGACGCGUGCGUGAGCCCGUCCCCCUUGACCCGCAACCGGUGGCACAGAAGGAUCGCAGCCCGUUUCCCACGCUCGUGUACACACUUUCAUGGGGCGCCACCAAACGCCGCCUGCCCAUUAAUUCUACGGGGUGAAACCACGUCGCACUUGGGCUAUUUAAGCCGGGCACUAUCGUCUUCCUCUCCCUCCUCAUCCACACCCCAUCCUCUGCCUCCUCUGCCCUUCUUCUUCCUUCUUCUCCAUCAAACCCGAUCGAGCCCUCGAGCCACCCCGCCACCAUGCAGUACAACGCCCCCACCUACCGCUUCCCCCCAACCGUGCCGGAAAGGCUCUACCCGGCCGGAGUGUAUGUAGAGAGAACCCUUAGGGUUUGGGCGAUCUCGAGGUGGAGGGGCGCAAGGGAGUUAAUGGAGUUCUUCCUUGCGGCCGGCUACCACCACCUCCCCCGCGGCUCUCCUCGGAUGUACCAUCUUGAGGAGUUCAACCAGAACGGUGUUGUGGUUGGGCUCAUCGCCACGUUCACUAACCCUUUUGAUGCUUUCCAUCUCCUCGGGCGAGCGUAUUGGGUUGGUUGUGAGUUCAUAGCUUUCACCACCUACAAUAUCUUCACCGACUUCAACGGCAUCUUCCCCAACAACGGCGUUGUGCACACGCUCCCGUACCCCAUCAACAACGGGGAGGAGUGAAGGGCGGCGCCCGGAGGAGCGAGGUGGCGUUGUUCACCCGGAGGAGGAGGAGAAGAAGAACCCGAAGAAGAACCCGCGUUUGGUGCCCCCGAUCUAUCUAGCUUGCUAUAGAUCUAUCGUAUUAGUUUUUUUAAGUUGUAAUCGGAUGCUACUAUUAUUAAGUUGUAUUAGUACUUUAAGUUGUAAGGCUAUCAUGGAGUUGUAAGGCUAUCGUGGAACUAUGGUCUUAUGCUUCUAUAUAAUCGUUAUGCUACUAUAUAUUGUGUGUUUCGUGCUAUUAUUUGUGGAUUGCCAUGGGUUGUUCUUGCUUAUUAUUCGUGUAUUGCUAUAGGUUGCUACGGGCCCGGGUUGCUACACCCCAAUCACCACACACACCAUCUUCAAAAUAUUGGCCAAACCAUGGACAUGCAACUAGGAGCCCCAUGCAAACCCACUAUGGAUAUGCAACUAGGAAAUGCAAACUAAUUUACUUCGGGCACUUCAUGCAAGCAUGCAACUCAUUUAGUUCAUGGAACCAUAGACAUGCAUAAAAACAAUUAACAUUUAGUUUUAGUGCAUCAAAAAAUGAUCCAUCACAAAAUUUAGUCCAAAAAAAGGCCAAAGUAAAAACAAGUAACAUUUUAUUUGCUAAAGUUAGAGGUGGGCUGGUGCCCCUACGCGGGUGGGCUGGUCUUGGGCAUGGUUAUUUUCUCAGGGCCCAUUUUCUCACGGCCCAACAUCUAUUCGGCAGCCCAGUUUUGUAUUUUACUAGAAACUGAAUUUGGGUGUGUACUCUGUUAACUGAAGAACAAAAACAGAGGAAACAGAGCAUGAACACUGAAUAGGGCCCCUGAGAAUAUCAUUACAAUAAUUCAAGCAAGUUUUGCUUCACACAAAUUCAAAUUCAUCUAACAAAUGAUCCCUGGCUAACUCAAACUACUGGGCACCCCUGAAACUAGCUGACACACUAACUGAAACUCUAACAAAUUCUAGCGAUUGAUGAACAUCAAGUAAAAUAAACCCACAGCAAUGACACAACCAUAAAAUGCUCCAGCCAUCAUAUUUGCUUGCUGCUUCAAAUCGAUCAGAUGCUUUAGUUGCUUGCCAAUUUUCUUCAAUUCACACUUCAGUUCUGCACUGUGCAUCAUCGGAUCGGCUCUGUCCGCCAAAUUGGGGGCUUGUUCCACGACAAGCCGCCCCCCAAAAUUGAGUUCUUGGGUUCGGGUUGAUCCCUCCAAUUUCAACCUUUCAACAUAGUCAUCGAGCCACUCAAAAUGCCCACAUUUCUUCAGAACCUGAAAAACAGGGGGCCGGCGGCGCAUGAAUCCUAGAUCCACCACCCAGAUCCACCGCCCUAAUUCGAGGAAAAAAGAAAGAAAUCGGGAGAAAUUAGACCAUAGGAUUGGUCAAGAACACAGAUCUAACCUGCCCCGGCUGUGGCAUUUCACAAACUCGCGCCCACGGUUGCCAUUUUCUUCCCUCACACAAGUCAAACACUUCAGAGGCUCCAUGCGCGGGCAAUCGGGGCAUCUUGUCAACGGCAGUGGACUAUACUGCGUCCAUGAUUGGCGGGAGGCCGAAGUCGAGCUAGACAUCACUCGCCGGCGGCGCGCUUCGUUGCCGGAGCAGAGGAAGAAGAAGGUGGGAAAGGAAAGGGGCAGGGCAAGCAAUGGAGGGCGGGGGGCGGGGUGGGCUGGCUCGGGCUCGUGGCUGGCUCGGGUCGGGGCACGCUGAUGAGCACGGGCAUGCUUGGGUGGAUAAGUUGUGGGUCCCACCCGCAUGCGAGUAACUGCUAGGUCCCGCGUGUCAUAACUCGAAUCGCUAACCCCUCGUAUUUUUCAAUUCAUGGUUAAACAGAGCCAUGUCGCAUUGGAGCGAUUGUUUGCUUCUAAAAUGUCGCAUCACAGCCAUUCAUUCGAACUACAUCGCACUCCUUCCAAUUCGCAUGAAAAACGUCGCACAGGAGCUAUUGGCCCCCUUGUUCGGGAUACCGAGGGCUCCUUUGAUUUAAAGUAAUUCCAUAGAAUUUUUGGAGGAUUUGAAUCCUUACGAAUGGAAACAUUAGAAAAAAAGUUUGUAAGGGUUGCUUUGCACACUAGUUCGAAAGAAAUUUUCCAUCCACUAAAAGCUCUUUGCUCAAUUUCUUUGUUUCUCAUGUGGUAUCAAACACUGUUUGGUCUAAAAUUCCUACGUGUUUCUAAUUCUACAGGAUUCAAAAGGACAUGUCAUUUCAAUCAUGUAUGUUUCCUAUUCCUACAUUUUGAGAAUCCUGCAAUUCAAAGAGGCAAUGAAUUUCUUCACAAGAAAUUUAGAAACAUUAAGUUGCGGCCAGAAAUGUGAAUUUUUUUUACAAAUUCGAGAAAGGUGUCUUAGUCUGAAUAUUGUGGUGAGUUCUUGAAGGUUCAUCUUUGUGUUGGCUAUUUUUUUUCAUUUUGAGAUAUGUUUCUACAGAGUGAGAGAGAGAGAGAGAGAGAGAGAGAGAGAGAGAGAGAGAGAGAGAGAGAGAUGAUUUCGAGUGCUCCAGACAUACAUUAGUGAGUAGGCCCACAGCUCCACCCGUCAAGUAGUCCCGAGCUGAGACGGGGCACGGCCCAGCUAGCUAGCUAUACACUUUGUCGAAACGAAGCCCAGCAUGGCGUCAAAACUGAAAGUGGAAGGCGACUUUCAUGCAUUCGUCCAUUCUGUUUGUUUAGUCCCAUACCGGAGAGCCGAAGAGGCGUCUCCUCCUCAAAUAAGCUCCGAGAACAGGAAUGGCGUGCCGAAUGGAGGCACACCCCGGGCACGAGGAGACUCGUGUGCUGGCGGUCCCGUGCACGGUACGUGCACUCAGCGAACCAAAAAAUAUGGAAUUUGAAAUCACCCCAAUAUGGGCCACCAACCAGCUAGAGCGCAUGACAUAUGCGCUUGGUGAUCCAAAAUAUGUUUUUAGACCCUUUACUAGGAAAAUUGCCCGUUUCGUCAAUGCCUAGUGAAAGGAAUACCACAUCGUCCUAGUAGCUGGUAUAAGUUCGUGAGGGACACAAACAUAGUCAAAUUCAAUCUUAAAAUAAAAAUAUAUAGCACCAAAUCCGACAACGCAUGCAGAGUUUGGAGCAUAAUUCGGAGAAUAAGCACACAUGUACACGCUAAGAGCAUCUGCAGCCAGCCAGACACCCUAUAUCACUGCAAUAAAAAUUCCCUGCGGUAGCUGCCCAUCGGCGACGAUCAGUCGGAGUCGGAGCCGAGGUCGACGAAGAGCUUCGCUUGCUCCUCCUUCAUCACGCGCAGGUCGGUCUCCUUCAAUGUCUGCGCCUGCGAUGUCGUGAGGCCCGAAUCGAGGAAGAGCCGCCCGUACUCGAGCUCGCGCCGGAUGCGCUCUUCCAUCUCCUCCUGAUCCCUUGCCGACCGCUCGAGGACGACACGCUCGAGGAGCUCCUCCUGCCCCGGUGGGAGGUAGUCCUCGGGUCCGAUGACGCCUCGGCGCGGCGGAGCAUCGGGCACGGCCUCCUCCGGCUCCCUCUUCACCGGAACGAGCCGCGAACUCGAUGCGCCCGCGGAUGAGCUCCCCGCGGACCAGUUGCCGGAGGAGGCGCGGCGGCGACGGGCGCGCUCGAGCUCGAACUCGUCGAGCUCGCGCCGGUCGAAUGCUGGCGGCGGCCGGGCACCCUGGUUGAGCCACCGACGCGCCCCCCGCUUGCGCGCGGCGUCAGAUCUGGCGCGGCGGCGGCGCUCCGCCUCAUCCCCCGAGUCGGCCAUGGUGGUUCAAGGCUCGCCGGCGGCGAGAAAUCGAGCGGCGCGGUGGGGAAUUGGAGGGGAACGCGGCGGCGGGAGGAUAGGGUUUCGACCCGCAUCUGCCCCGCAAACCCGCAAUUAUAGUGGCUCUGGGGUUGCGUUUGCGGGCUGCGGCAAAAAAAUUUACGGGCCGGACACCGAUGCGGGCUCUGGUCUGGCCAGAAAAAUGGGCCGAGCCCGUAUAAUCGCCGGAAUUAUGCGGGUUUGCGCCGGAUGCGGGGUCUACUAGAGUUGCUCUUAAACAUAUGCAGACACUCCCGGUGAGUGACCGAGAGAGAGGGAAAAAGUUAAUGCAAUCAUACACCUCAUAUAUCAUUACUAUAUGUUCGAAUUGUCCGUGAAUCCUCAUAUUAAGAAAAAAUGUAGAGAGGAUAUGUGGGCUUGCGGACACGCCCGAUCAGUCUACCACAUAGCACGCCGCCCACCUCAGACCACAUUUUGUCUAUCUUUAUUCAUUGUUUUGUUUUUCUUUCUUCAUCUUCACCAAUCACGCAUAUCUGACCGGACAUACAAAGGAAAAAAUGAGAAGUGUGACUGUAUGAACAGACAAAUAAGUUUUCAAAACGUACACAUCCCAUCACUGAUCGGACGUAUCUGCAUACGUUUAGGAAAUGGAUUUGCUAACUCCGACUGCAUAUGCUCUAACACGUCCAAGUUUGUGUUACAAACAGGGAGAUAUUUACUCGGUGAAGGAUCUACAUCUUUAAUUUAAAAACAGAAAUUUCAACAUGCGUGCACGCUAGCUAGCUAACUGAUCGGCUGUUUUUUUAUAAGAAAUCAGCCGCGCUUGAUCUAAAAAAAGGAAAAGGGAAUCAGCGGCCUCCUGGGUCCUGGCGCUCCAGGAUCAUCGUUAUUACGCUUCUCGUCGGCUGGUAGCAAAGUUUAUUCUGACCUCCCCCAUAUCGAUAUCUCCGCCACCUUCGCCCGGAAGGCGCUGCCGCCUGCACCCACCGCCGCCGGGAGAUCCAUCCCUCGCGCCCCACUCCCCCCCACGUCGACACCGGGCCCCGCGCGCCGCCGGGAUCCCCACGUCCGCGGCGGCCAUGGCGGGUACCCACCCGGGAUUCCCACGGCGGCCAUGGCUCCUGCGCCGCCAGGCGCCAUCACCGUCGGGACCCCUCGCUCUCCCGGCGCGCGCCCUGCCCCGCACACCCCUGCUCAUUCCUGCCGUCCGUCCCCUCGUGUGGCUGACCACGCCGCUUUUAUUUCGAUUUCAUCCGCCUCUUCAGAUCUUUAUCUCUGAAUUCUUUGAUUUCAUGCGCCUCUUCAGAUCUUUAUCUCUAGCCUCUGGGCUGAUUCAUAUCUUAUCCUCUUUUUCUUGGCUUGUUGAUUUUGACAACUACAAACGUAUAUAACUUGCUAAGAUUUGAUCUAGAGGGGCAGUGUGAGACUAUUAAUUAGAAUCUAAAAUUGUAGCAUAGGUCUAAGGAAACUUUUGUCCCUGCAGCCGUAAGGGAGGUGGGGCUGGUGGUGAGGAUGAAUUCGGCAGAAAACUGGCCCAUUGACGUGCGAAGAGCUGGUGCCAAACGGAACAAAAAUUAUAGGGCGAUGCUAGGCGCCGGUGCGCCGGCCGAAACGUUUCGGCCGGUCGCAACCUAGCCGUCAGAUCGGCCCGUCCCGAGCCAUUGGAUCCUUAUCCAACCAGAUCGUCAUCUUCCUCUCGCGAGCGCGUAACGAGCGUUGUCUUGCUCUCGCGAACCCCGUCUCGCCGGCCGCACGCGUCCCCCCUCGUCGCCGCCCCUCCCUCGCCUGCCCUCCUCGCCCCUGGUCGCCGUCCUCGCCGGCCGUCUUUCCCGGCCGCCCUGGUCGCCGGUCCCAGUCCUCGGCGGCCAUCCUCGUCACCGGCUUCGCCCCAUGCAACAGCCCACCCCCUGCGAUUGAAGCUUUCAUGGCCACUAUUGCAGCUCCGGUGGCGACGACCGGAGCUCACCGGCGUGCUGGCUCGCCGCCGGAAUUCACAGAAACCCGUGCCGGGUCGCAGCUCGGCCGUGAUGGAUAUAGCAAAACAUUAUGCCGGUUGUAGUAAAAAAUGAUGCUAGUUGUAGCAAAACCGCGACGCCGGCUGUCUGUUGUAGCAAAACUGUGAUGCUAGUUGUAGCAAAAUGUUAUGCCAGUUGUAGCAAAAAUCUAUGCCGGUUGAAGCAUGUAGCAAAACUGCAGCAUUUUAUCAUCUUCUUCCACCUCCAGCCGUUGCUGGUUGAACCUUUCUUGUUUUUAUAGUGUCUAGUUGUAGCUUUCUCUUUCAAUGGUUGGAGCUUUUUCCAACAACCGUUGAAGCUUUUCUACCAAAAGUUGUAGCUAUUUUCUUUUUAGCAGCACUUGGUCAAGGCUUUUUGUGUCGUUUCGGUUGAAGCUUUUUUAAUCGAAGGUUGUAGCAUUUCAUGUCAACGGUUGUAGCUUUCCGGCGAUGGCGCUGACCGCUUGUAGCUUUCUCUACAUCCGGUUGAAGCUUUUCAUCUAGGGGGAUGAAGCUUUUUUUUUAAACGGUUGCAACAUGAGGGGGUGCGACGAUUCUGCAGAAGCCUCCGGGAUCCACAUGCAGCAAAAACUUCGCCCAUGGGUUGCAGCUCCCCUCGCUGGUGAUGGUCACGGCUCCGGCAACGCCAGUCGCCGGUUGCAGCUCCGGCAGCUUGCAGUCGCGUGCCCCGCCACUUGCAGUCCAGCGCCCCCGCCGGACCCCCUGAUUAAAGGUUGUAGCAAAAUUCAUCAACGGUGGCAGCAAAAAACACCGCCGGUUGAAGCUUUUUUUCCAACUGUUGAUUCCGGUUGUAGCAAAACUCGACGCCAAUGAUAGCACGGCAAAAUGCAGGUUGUAGCAAAAUUGGACGCCGGUUGCAGCUCCUGGUCGUAGGUUGCAGCUAUCUGCUGUCGCCGGCCACAAGUUUGCCGUCGUUGGUUGCAACACGUCAGUCCGAUAGUUGUAGCUUUUUUGUUGCCGGUCAUACCUUUUCACGGCGUGGGUUGCAACUUUUCUGAUCUCCCAGUUGCAGUUGUUUGUCGUCAUCGGCCAAACUACACCGCCGAAAAGAUUGUAGCAAAUAGAGACGCCGGAUGUAGCAAAAAAAUGAUAUAGUUGUAGCAAAAACUAGCUGUGUUUCCAACUCGCUUAUUGGUUGCAGCAAAAAACAGCUGUGGUUCCAGCUAUGGAUUUCGCCAGUUGAAGCAAAACAAAAUGAUGGCUCCAGCAUCGUUGUCCGCUCGUUGGCGACGCAACCUUCACCGUGGUCAUCCAUGGAGGCUCGUCGGCACGGCUCGGCAUGGUUCCCCCGGCGCGGUUCCAGCACCUCCGUUGCGGCGCCCCGAUACAGUCCAUAACAGCUUGUUGGAGCCCCAGUCGCAGUCCGGCCCGAGCUCGUAAGCCAUGGCCGCCCUGACCUUGAGCUCGCAGGCCAUGGCGCAUGGGAGCAGCACCCCCAUGGAGGAGGUGCAGCUGUGGGGUGUGAAGGGAGGAGUGCUCGGAGCUGCCUGGUGCUAUGACGGAGGAGGCGAGGCGGAAAGCGAGGUCACAGCCGCGAGGAAGAAGAAGUGGAUGCGGGCGUUGGGGAGAGGAUAAGGUACACGUGUUCACUUCCUGGUGGCUAGCGCCAGCGUGGCGAAAGUGACCGGCCAGAGCGUUCCGCCGGCGCCCCGGCGUGAAACGUUCCCCAAAAUUAUAAGAGGAGGUGGACCGACGUAUGAAACCGAACAAAAAUGAUAAGAGGAGGUGGACGGACCAAAAACGGACGAAAUUAUAGUGGUAAGAAGCGAUAGCCCUUUUAUUAGUAGGUAUAGGUAUAGAUAUAGAUAUAUAGAUUUUCUUCUUCAUGAUUUUCUUGCCGACUGUGUUUUUUUUUGCCGGAAAAAAAAUGAUGAUGAUAGAAUUGAACAAAUGGGGCGCAUUGCAUUGUAUGCGCUCUUGGCGAUCCCUUUUAUGUUUCUUCUUUUUUGCACAUUUUUUGUUCCUGAUGUUACUGAUCCUUUUGUGUAUGGUGAUGAUCCCUAGUCCCUCCUUCCGGGGUUACGAGGUUUUUUAAGCCUUAAUUUUCUUCUUGAUGAUUUUCUUGCCGAAAGUGUUUUUUUUGGAAAAAAAAGGAUGAUGAUAGAAUUGAAUAAAUGGGGCGCAUUGCAUUGCAUGCGCUCUUGGCGAUCCCUUUUAUGUUUCUUCUUUUUUACACAUUUUUUGUUACUGAUCCUUUUGUGUAUGGUGAUGAUCCCUGGUCCCUCCUUCCGGGGUUACGAGGAUGUUACUGAUCCUUUGAGUACAUAACGGGUUCACAAAAGUUUUCAAUGGUAUACUUGUUUUAUGGUACUCCCUCUGGUUCAUAUUAAUCGUUGUACUAAAUCAGCGACAAUUAAUAUGGAUCAGAGGGAGUACAUACAUUUUUUUUGCGGGGAUAUGAUGCACAAUUUUUAUUGGUUUAUUUAUGAUCAAACUAAAUCUCAAAAAUGCAUGCUGACCUUAGAAUGGGGAAAUAAUUAGGAGCUGCAAUUCUAGUGGUGUUUAAAGUGCACAUGAGAUCUUUUACCUUUACGCCGGCAAUGUUUAAUUUUUUGCGGGGAUAUGGUUCACAAUUUUUAUUGGUUUAUUUUAUGAUCAAAUUAAAUCUCAAAAAUGCAUCUGACCUUAGAAUGGGGAAAUAAUUAGGAGCUGCAAUUCUAGUGGUGUUUAAAGUGCCGCGUGAUCUUUUACCUUUACGCCGGUAAUGUUUAUUGUGUGCACUAAGACUUGACACCUAGAUCCGAUCCUUAUCACUAGCUCAAUACUGGACGAAGAGGUUCGUAACAAUUUUGAUAAAAAAAAGUCAAGGUUUCAAAUAAUGUGUGCCCCUCCGCAACCCAUGCCAAGAAUCAUCGGUUGAUUUAUUCAUGGUUCAAAUCCACAACAUUCACAUAACCAAAAAAAUUAAUCAAUCUAGUGGCUACGGGUAUGUGAAUUUUUAACUCUAGUAACUAAGCAAUUUUCCUGUGUGCUAGCAUGAAAAUUCAAGGCUUAAUUUAAGAUGAAUUAUGUAUGAAGGAAAUGACCUGAAUCAAAAGCUAUUUUUGGAAAAUAGAAAUGGUGCGUACUUACUUUGUGUGCAAGCAAAAGAGUAUGCAUGUACUGUUGGAAUAUUAGGCAAGUUCAUGAUUAAUUCCAGUAAAUAAUUCAUGACUAGAAGAGAUACUAGCAUGUAAUAAUCUAGCAAACUAGAAGAACAGCAAGACAUGCAUAACAGCAGCAAACACGUAAUAAUAGCUGUAGAAACAGACAUGAACAGAGGAUGUUGGACGUACUGAUCGUUAGCUAUUAUGGGUGCGACAGUGUUGAUGACGAUGUUGGCGACGAUCUGCUGCUGACGGCGAUGAAUACGACGAUGAGUAGCACCGCCCGACUUGGACGGAAGACGACCCGUGAUGACGAAUUUGAGCAGUCGCGCACAGCGCUUCCCAAAAACCUAAUUCGUCCUCUCCCGGUGCAGGAUCGCAAAGACGAACGGUUCCGGAGACCUGCUCUCCCACGCGCCGAUGCACGCCGGCGUUUGGGAUGGAGUAGACUACGAUGGCGGCGCAAGUUGUGAGAUGAGGCAAAACCCUAGGUGUUUUUCGGUGUGUCUCUGGCCGCAGCCGGUAGCUGUAUAUAUAUUAGGACCAGAGGCGGUAUUGUGUCGCGACCACAAUCCCAAACCGACUCGGUUUCUAAUUCGUAUACUUACCGGACAAGAAAUCAAAAACUUGUCUGCCAAGACAUAAAAAUAAAACGGCAAAAGGAAGCUGCGCUCCUGCAAGGAGACGGACCGGAUUUCGGCGGACCAUUCACGCGCAUGUCGCAUGUACGCCUCGCCUCGCCUCGCCACGCCCCGGCCCGGCCCGGCCAGGCCAGGCGAGCGAGCGCGCGCGUGUGGUUUUCCCUUUCUCUUCUCACACACCACUUAGAGUGGUGGAGAGAACCCACUAUAUAAAGAGGUCCAACUCUUCUUCAACUUCCAAGGUGGGACUAAACUUAGCACCACCACUUGCCAUUUUACACAUGGGCUUUGAGAUUUCAGAAAUUGCUAUGGGCCUAGCCCAUUAAUUCUAACAAUCCCCCGCCAGAUCUCAAAUACCUAUUUAGAGAUUUGCCUUCUCUCACCACUUGUUUAAUAUACCAGUGUUUCAGCAGAGACUGUUAAGUUGAACUUCUGCCUAGAACUUUAAGCUACAUCCAUUCACAACUUGACAAUGGACUAUGCCUUGAAUUGCUAGUUUUGUGUGAACAGGUUUCACUCAAUGUCUUAAUCAGUACCUGACCGCCAGUAGGCUACCCCGCGGUUUGGAGCUUAUACGUCAUACUCCCUGGUCUCUUCGUGAGCUUACUAGAGAUCACCCAAAUCUCAUAGACUGCGACGUUUACAGUCAGAACUCAUAUAGGUGUGUUCUUUCAAGACUGCUCUGUAGGACAGCAUCUUUGCUAAUUAUAGCCAAUAGAACCACAUUAAGGCAUGUUGCCAACCUGCCUUACAGAUCUGAGCCUUACAGCUCUGAGAGUUUUGCAUCUUCACUUGGAGACGAUCAUAAGUUAUUACUCUCCUCAGUUAACCAAUAGCUUGUUCUUCCCAGAUCCUAAUUCACGGGAUCUCCGAUCACAAAGGUUGGGUUACUACUAUGGUGUAAGAUCUAUGGGUCUCAUACCCAUCUCCCUCGAUGCAAUAUCUAUCACAUUUCGUGAUAGUCCCUUUGUAAAGGGAUCUGCCAGGUUUUUGUCUGUUUGUAUAUAUGUAACAGUUAUUACUCCGGAGUUUCUCAACUUCCUGACAGACUUCAAACGUCUUUUCACGUGUCUUGAUGACUUUGCAUUAUCUUUAGAAUUGUUCACUUUAGCGAUAACCGUUUGGUUAUCACAAUUCAUAAGAAUAGCCGGUACAGGUUUUUCAACAACCGGCAAGUCCAUCAAGAGCUCACGCAGCCAUUCUGCCUCAACAGUAGCUGUGUCCAAAGCAGUUAAUUCUGCUUCCAUAGUUGACCUCGUCAAUAUGGUUUGCUUGCAAGACCUCCAUGACACUGCGCCACCACCAUGAGUAAAUACAUACCCACUUGUUGCGUAAAGUACAUCAACAUCGGAGAUCCAAUUUGAAUCACUAUAUCCUUCUAGCACAGCAGGAUGCCCUGAAUAAGUAAUUCCGUAACUCAUAGUACCUCUCAGAUAGUGCAAGACCCUUUCUAGUGCAUGCCAAUGAUCAUCACCCGGGUUGGACAUGAACCUACUCAGUUUGCUCACAGCAAAAGAGAUAUCUGGUCUUGUAGCGCUAGCUAAGUACAUGAGUGAACCGACAAUUUGAGAGUAUCUUAAUUGAUCUCUCGUUUCUUUCUUGUUCUUUCUGAGUGUCACGCUGGGAUCAUAAGGUGUUGGAGAAGGCUUGCUAUCCAUAAAACCGAAUCGGUUCAAGACCUUCUCAACAUAGUGAGAUUGUGUUAAUGUAAUCCCACUCUCAUCCUUAAUAAGUUUGAUGUUUAGAAUUACAUCGGCUUCUCCCAGAUCUUUCAUGUCAAAACUUUUUGAUAGAAAAGACUUGACCUCAUUAAUUGCAUUAAUGUUUGUACCAAAGAUCAGUAUGUCGUCCACAUACAAACAUAAUAUGACACUAUUGCCCCCACCAUGGCGAUAGUAAACACACCUAUCAGCCUCGUUAAUGACAAAUCCUGCAGAAGUCAAAGUUCUUUCAAACUUCUCAUGCCAUUGCUUAGGUGCCUGUUUCAGACCAUACAAAGAUUUUAACAACUUGCACACCUUUCUCUCUUCACCCUUUACCACAAACCCGUCAGGCUGAUCCAUAUAGAUCUCCUCUUCCAACUCUCCAUUGAGAGAAGUUGUCUUUACAUCCAUUUGAUGAAUGAUAAGACCAUAAGAGGCAGCCAAGGAAAGUAACACUCGAAUGGUGGUCAUUCUAGCAACGGGUGAAUAGGUGUCAAAGUAAUCUUCGCCUUCUUUCUGAGUGUAGCCCUUGGCCACUAGCCGCGCCUUGUACUUAUCAAUAGUACCAUUAGGCUUUAGCUUCUUUUUGAACACCCACUUACAGCCCACAGGUUUACAACCAUAUGGUCUAUCAGUUAGUUCCCAAGUUCCAUUAGAAAGAAUUGAGUCCAUCUCAUUAUGAACAGCUUCUUUCCAAUCAUCUACAUCCGGAGAUGCAUAUGCUUCUGCAAUCGUCUUGGGUGUGUCGUCCACAAGGUAUACAAUGAAAUCAUCACCAAAGGAUUUUGCAAUCCUUUGUCUCUUGUUCCUUCUAGGAACUUCAUUGUUAUCCUUCUCAAGGACUUCCUCAUGUGAUUGUUCGAAAUAUUCAUCAGUUGUACUAGAUUCAGGAAUUAUCUCAGAAGAAAAUCUAGCAAUGCUAUGCAUAUCUUUCAUAGGAAAUAUGUUCUCAAAAAAUGUUGCAUCACGAGAUUCCAUUAUAGUAUCAACAUGCAUAUCAGGUACUUCAGAUUUUACCACUAAAAACCUAUAAGCAAUGCUCCGUUGAGCAUACCCUAGAAAGACACAAUCCACUGUCUUUGGUCCAAGUUUGCGUUUCUUAGGAAUAGGAAUAUUGACCUUUGCCAAACAUCCUCAAGUGCGCAAAUAAGAAAGUGAUGGUUUUCUCCCAACCCACUCCUCAUAAGGGGUUUUCUCUUUAUUAUUGUUGGGAACUCUAUUCAGGACAUGACAUGAAGUCAAUAGAGCCUCCACCCACCAUGCCUUAGAUAAACCAGCAGUGUCUAACAUGGCAUUCACCAAGUCAGUCAAUGUGCGGUUUUUCCUCUCGGCCACUCCAUUUGAUUGAGGUGAAUAGGGAGGCGUCCUCUCAUGAAUAAUACCAUGUUCCUCACAAAAUUCAUCAAAAACUUUUGGAAAAUAUUCUCCACCACGAUCGGACCUAAGACGCUUGAUCUUUCUCUCUAGUUGAUUUUCAACUUCAGCUUUAUAGAUUUUAAAGUAGUCUAAUGCUUCAUCUUUAGUUUGCAACAAAUAAACAUAGCAAAAUCUAGUCGCAUCAUCAAUCAAAGUCAUGAAAUAUCUCUUUCCACCUUUUGUCAACACACCAUUCAUCUCACAAAGAUCAGAAUGUAUGAGUUCUAGAGGUGCCAAGUUUCUCUCCUCGGCAGCCUUAUGAGGCUUUCGAGGUUGCUUAGAUUGCACACAACUAUGGCACUUAGAACCUUUGGCAACUGUGAAGUUCGGAAUUAAACUCAUGCUGGAUAGCCGAGACAUUAAACCAAAAUUAAUAUGACAUAAACGAGAGUGCCAAAUACUUGCAUCAUCAUUAACACUAGCACAAAUUUGGUUUAUUGACUUAUUGCAAAAAAUCUGAAAGGGAAAAGCGGAACAAGCCUCCGCACUCAUAGCCUUUUUCUAUAAAUUGUCCAAAUCUUGACACGAUUACUUUAUUGGACUCUAAAACUACCUUAAAUCCAUCUCGACAUAGAAGGGAGCCGCUAACUAGAUUCUUGUUCAUAGUAGGGACAUGCUGCACGUUCCUUAGUUGCACGAUCUUUCCCGAAGUAAACUUCAGAUCCACCGUGCCAAUGCCACGAACAGAAGCAUGUGACCCAUUCCCCAUUAGGACGGAAGAAUCCCUUGCGACCUGAUAAGAAGUAAACAGGGAGAUGUCAGCACACACAUGAACGUUAGCACCCGAAUCAAUCCACCACGAAGAUGAUUGAAAUACUGAAAGCACAAUAGGUAAAUUACCAUACCCAUCAGUAUUGCUAGCGGUCACCAUGUUGACAGUCUUGGAGCUUGUUUUCCCUCUGCGGUCUGCACGUUCAGGGCAUUCCUUGGAAAAGUGUCCAGGCUUCCCACAGGCGUAGCACUCUAGCUCAGCCUUGUUGAACUUCUUCUUCUUGAAGGUAGUAGUCUUGGUAGGCUUGUUGAAAACAGGUUUGUUCUUCCCUUUGUUCUUGUUCUGUGGGUACCUCUGCACCAUGUUAGCAGUAGGCUGAACCUCACCUCCUUUUUCAGUGGUAUCUUUAGCCCGAGCUGUUUCUUCAACAUCAAGAGAUGCAAUUAGAUUUUCAACUGAUAUCUCCUGUCUCUUAUGCUUCAGAGUUGUGGCGAAAUUCCUCCAUGAAGGAGGCAACUUUGCAAUCAUGCACCCAACCACGAAUUUGUCGGGUAGAACACAUUUAAGGAGUUCAAGUUCCUUCACAAUGCACUGUAUCUCAUGAGCUUGUUCAACCACAGAACGGUUAUUCACCAUCUUGUAGUCAUGAAAACUCUCCAUGAUGUACAGUUCACUGCCUGCAUCUGUUGCACCGAAUUUUGCAUUCAGUGCAUCCCACAGAAUUUUUCCGUCGUUUAUGUGCAUGUACACAUCACACAGACGGUCAGCAAGAACACUCAGAAUGCAUCCCACAAACAUAGUAUUGGCUUCCUGGAAUUUUCUCCGAUCUUCGUCGGUCAUUCCCUCUGGAGCACCAACACUAGCGUGGAAAACUUUCAGAGCAGUAAGCCAGAGCGUGGUCUUCACCUGCCACCUCUUAAAGUGCACACCGGUAAACUUAUCCGGCCUCAGUGCAUCAGCGAAUCCAGCCAUAGUUAACUCAGGAAAUUGCCUAUAAUUAGGUUUUUGGAUUGUUGGAAUAUUAGGCAAGUUCAUGAUCAAUUCCAGUAAAUAAUUCAUGACUAGAAGAGAUACUAGCAUGCAAUAAUCUAGCAAACUAGAAGAACAGCAAGACAUGCAUAACAGCAGCAAACACGUAACAAUAGCUGUAGAAACAGACAUGAACAGAGGAUGUUGGACGUACUGAUCGUUAGCUAUUAUGGGUGCGACAGUGUUGAUGACGAUGUUGGCGACGAUCUGCUGCUGACGGCGAUGAAUACGACGAUGAGUAGCACCGCCCGACUUGGACGGAAGACGACCCGUGAUGAAGAAUUUGAGCAGUCGCGCACAGCGCUUCCCAAAAACCUAAUUCGUCCUCUCCCGGUGCAGGAUCGCAAAGACGAACGGUUCCGGAGACUUGCUCUCCCACGCGCCGAUGCACGCCGGCGUUUGGGAUGGAGUAGACUACGAUGGCGGCGCAAGUUGUGAGAUGAGGCAAAACCCUAGGUGUUUUUCGGUGUGUCUCUGGCCGCAGCCGGUAGCUGUAUAUAUAUUAGGACCAGAGGCGGUAUUGUGUCGCGACCACAAUCCCAAACCGACUCGGUUUCUAAUUCGUAUACUUACCGGACAAGAAAUCAAAAACUUGUCUGCCAAGACAUAAAAAUAAAACGGCAAAAGGAAGCUGCGCUCCUGCAAGGAGACGGACCGGAUUUCGGCGGACCAUUCACGCGCAUGUCGCAUGCGCCCCGCCCCGGCCAGGCGAGGCGAGCGAGCGCGCGCGUGUGGUUUUCCCUUUCUCUUCUCACACACCACUUAGAGUGGUGGAGAGAACCCACUAUAUAAAGAGGUCCAACUCUUCUUCAACUUCCAAGGUGGGACUAAACUUAGCACCACCACUUGCCAUUUUACACAUGGGCUUUGAGAUUUCAGAAAUUGCUAUGGGCCUAGCCCAUUAAUUCUAACAUGUACGUUGGGCAGUAGCGGCUGCAAAAAUUAAAUUGGGUCUACAUGGGCUAAAAAUAGUGUUAGUGGAUGUUAAUGUGGCACAUUUAGUGAGAUGGAAGGUUACAUGUUGAGAGAAUUAAAUAUAAUUGGAGAUCAACGGUUUAGAGAUAUGAAAUUUGAAAGGGGAACGGCAGGUGUUACAGUACCCCUUCAUUGGUGACUUGAAGCAAACAUGCGACAAGUUUCCCUGUCUCCCGUCAGCGGCACCGCGAUCUGCCUCGUCUUUUGUGGCCUCGGGGCCAUGGAGACAUGAUGGAUCCAACCCUUGUUGGCGGAGGGCUUUGUUUUUUAGGUAUUUUUUGUUUGGUUAGGAUUUGUGUCCUACUCAGCAAGGAGAGGAGGUGGCGACUCCCUGAAGAUGGAAUAAGGUUCUCUCCGCCUAGCCAUAAUCACGAUGGUGCGUCUAUGGUCUCGAAGGGUGUGUGGAGGUUUAUCUCAGGCUAAUAUCGCAAGAUUCGGUCGGCGUUGGCCUCUAGUGGAUCUGCUUGGAUCUAGUCCUCGUUCGUCUAUGCUCGUGUGUCUAUAAGUUGGAUCCUUCUUAUCGCUUCUUUUCAUCGACAACGGUUGUUCUGCGGCGCUGGUCCUGUGGGAUUUUAGCACGACGACUUCCCGGCUAUCUAGCACAACAAGAUUUGCCUGACUCUGGUGAGCAAGGGGCUAUGAAGGCAACGCGUCUUCGGCUCACUCCAGUGCUUGUAGUCGUCGUUAGGUGAUCUACAUACCUGAAUAUAAUUUGUAUUACUUCUUGUGUUCUACGUACUAUCAUAACAGUUGAUGAAUAGAUCAAAUGUUUUUCCCGCAAAAAUAAUAAUAAUUAAAAGGGUUAGGUUGUCGUGAGAAAUGGGAGGGAUAGUCUUCAGUUUCAAAAGAGGUCUCAAGUCCAAAUAUUCUGGUCGGCUUCUUCCAGGUUUUGCCUCUGAAAUUUUUAUAUUUUCCCAAUCUAGACUUGUCAUAAGCCCUAGAAAGCUUGUUAAUCCCCAAUAGCCCAGACCAAGAUGACUCAUGGUAAAACAGCAAGCAAGCCAGAUUCCAUAAGGUUAGAUUCAUCGUGUGCAAGUCAAAGAUUUUGUCCUAUUUGUAGGGUUUGACCUCUCAAUUUGCCAAACUCCAUGUCAGCUAGCAUGAUUCAAGGAGGUGGUUAAAUUGUUAAGUUUGUUAGACCAAAUCAUGGUUUCAUGCAUGCCAAAAGGGCAGGCUAUUGAAGGGCCAAAAUACCAUCCUAUGUCCCUAUUAGCCAGCACCAGGCAUGUGGUGGUACUACUAAUGCUGUCUGACUCCUGCUUAGGAUGCCUAUGAAUGAUAAUUUGUUAACUACUACCCAGACCUUGUUCGGAAUACCGAGGGCUCCUUUGAUUCAAGGUAAUUCCAUAGAAAUUUUGGAGGAUUUCAAUCCUUAGGAAUGGAAACAUUAGAAAAAGUCUGUAAGGAUUGCUUUGCACACUAUUUUGGAAGAAAUCUUCCAUCCACUGAAAGCUCUUUGCUCAAUUUCUUUGUUUCUCAUGUUGUAUCAAACACUGUUUGGUCUAAAAUUCCUAUGGUCUUCUAAUUCUGCGGGAUUCAAAAGGACAUGUCAUUUCAAUCAUGUAUUUCUCCUAUUCCUACAUUUUGAGAAUCCUGCGAUUCAAAGAGGCCAUGGAUUUGUUCACAGGAAAUUUGGAAACAUUAAGUUGCGGCCAGAAAUGUGAAGAAAAUUACAAGUUCGAGAAAGGUGUCUUAGUCUGAAUAUUGUGGUGAGUUCUUGAAGGUUCAUCUUUAUGUUAGCUAGUCUUUUUUCUUUCAUUUUGAGCUGUAAUGAGCUAAUGCAGUCCCAGACCAAAAUGGCUUAUGGCAAAGCAGCAAGCAAGCCAGAUUCCAUCCUGGAGCUGACCAAUUAGUAUAUAUCUUUCCUUGAUAAAAUGCGAUAUUUUUCCAUUUUCUACAAUCACUACCGAGUUAAAAAAAAGAUGAUUUCAAGUUCUCAGUACAUUAGUCAGCAGGCCAUUAGCAUUAGCUCAUGUUUUCAAUGGCAACAUGCCACUGUAGCUCAGGUCACAGCAAUUCAGAUUGUACAGACUACAGAGCAAAGCAACACCUAGGCAAAUUGAUUCAAAUAAUUUCAUGUACAUCUUCAGACUUCUUCAGUCAGGUUGCAUUUCAGAGGCAAUCUGAAUUUUGUUUGGUUUUCAGCAGAGGAACCAGCUGCAGCACCGGAACCGGGACGGCACGCGGCCGGUCUUCCGGAUGCGCUCCACCUGCCGGGCCAACCGGACCGCCCGCCGGUUCCGCCUCGCCUCGACCCUCGCCUGCUUCCCCUCCACCUUGUGGCUCAAUGUGGACAGCCUCUUGGUCAGGCUGUUCUUCGCCCGCGCCUUCAUUUGAUCGGCCUGCACCUGAAAUGAAGUUUGCACAAUUACAUUCUGUAAAUUUGUAGAAUGCAUGAUCAGAAUUUGUUGACAGACAGCUGGGAUUUGUUUCACAGUUUUGUCUGGACAGUGCAGCAAGUUCAGGAGUUCAGAUGGGAGCUGACCUCUGCAUGCCUCAUCUUGGCUUCGAAUUUGGAUUUCUGGCAGUUCUCCCACUCCUGAAUCUUCACCUCCUUCCUCUGAUAUCUGAGCCAUCAUCAUGAGCAAAACAUCAUAAGAUUCAGAAGAAAAUGGUGUUUUUGAAUGAAACAUUCAGGCACAAAGAUCAGGAGAAAUAUGUGGAGAUUUUGUUCGUGCCUUGAUGCAAAUUUGCACUUCUUUGACUCUGCCCAUGCCGCGGCUCGAGCUUCGAACUCCUCCUUCUUGGCUUCGUCUUCUUCGCCGGCGCUCUUCUCCGGCGAGGUGCGUAUGCGAUCCUCCUUGCUCGCCCACGAGGCGAUGCUCAUUUUGCCCAGCUGCAGCCCGAGCGCGGCGAUCUCCCGGCGCGUCCUGAUCUGCAGCUCCCGCUCCGACGCGGACGGCGAGGCCGGCACCGAGCAGAGCGGGCUGAGGGACGGCGUGGCGGCGCCGGCCGGGGUGCCGCUCCUCGACUGCUCCUGGCUGGCGAUCGGGGUCAUCUCCGUGCCGACGUCCCUCAUCGACACCGACGACGACUGCGCCGCCGCCGGAGCGCUCACCUGGGUGCGGAGCUUCGUGUCGCGACGCUGCUUGCUCGCCGGCCCGGUCACCGACGACAGCGACGACGACGGCGAAGGCGACCGCGGCAGCUCUGUCAGCGCGCUGCCGCCGCUCACCUUCUUCGCGUCCGGCGGCGGCGGCGCAGACUCCGGCGCGACGCGCACGCAGCCUCCGCCGACGCCGCUGUGGCCGUGCGCGGCGGCGGCCUUCUUGGAGAAGAUGGGGUUGGAGUGCACGACGUGCCUCCCGGCGGUCCACUUCUCCGCGUCGUUCCACUUGGACGGCACCUGCCUGAAGAAGGGGCCGAGCCCGGCCACCGCCGCCCUCUCCUCCAUGUGGAACUCGAAGCUGCCGCCAUUGCCGGAGUGAGCAGCAGACCUGCCGUGGCUCCCGCUGGAGCGCGACCGGGAAGAGGAAUCCGAGCGGUCCUUGGGGUACUCCGAGGAGCCCUCGUCGAGCUCCUGGGGCGGCAGGAGGCUGUUCUUGGGGUGGUCGUCGGCGUGGAGCCUGGACGGCGACUUGCUGGCCGCCUCGUCCUUGUUGGCGGCUCCGUGGGGAUGGGAUCCCAUCCCCAGCAGCUUCAUCCUCAGCUUCGUCGGAGACAUGACCCCCAUCUGCAUCCCAAUCACACACACACACACAAAUCAAAUCAUAAUCUGAUAUGCUGUUAAUUUCAGUGCUAAAACUGAUAUGAAUGUGUGGGAAUUUGUGGUGGUAGAUUGGCUGCAGAAAUCUGUGCCUUUGUUUCCUCCGCAGAGGAGGGAGGGGUUGACAGCUCCGCUGCUGCUAGCGAAGCUGCCAUUGGAGUGCGAUGGUGUGAGCAGAGUGAACCUCUACCCACCAACACCAAACCUCACUGAGCUCACUCACUCACUCGCUGUGGACUGUGGAGAAUGAACUGAGCCCCCACUCUGAGGAGCAUGGAGCAGCAAAGCAUGGCCAUACUCCAUACAGGGAAAGGAAAGAAGGAAAAAGCAAAAACAAAACAAAAGAAGGUGACCCUAUACUACAGUGUUAGUGUAGUGCCUGCCAUGUUACCCAUGGCCAUGGGACAACAAAUCCAAUCCAAAGCCCCAUAAACGGGCGAUGCACUACAGUGCCCAAUGCUGGAAACAGCUUUGACCCACACAGUGCUACUAACUCAUGAACAGAGAUACUAGGGAGACCCCCCAAAAGACCCUCUGAUGGAAAAAGGAUUUAGCAUCUUUGCUGUGGGUAAAAACCCAAAUGCUGCUAGCAAGGAUGGAUGAACACGGAUAAAUACAUCGAGCAAAGAAAAUUACCGCUACCUGAACCUUGUGUAUCCUCUCAUACUCCAUGGUGACAGUGCCCCUCCCUCACUCACUCUCUCUCUCUCUCUGAUACUGAUGUUGAUGCUGAUGCUGGUGCUGCAAGUGGAGCAAAGGCAGGAUAAGAUUUGCUUUGUUAAUUCUGUGGGGUGGGAGGAGCGGCGCAGAGCAGGUGUUGGUUGUUGAAGCAGCAAGCGGGCUGUGCCGAGGGAGAGCGAGCUUUAUAUAAACGGAGGAGGGAGGAAGGCGCGUGGCGGUUGGCGACGAGGAAGAGGGAGGCGGGGAGCGCGUGCCGCUGGGCCGUGCGAUCGACACGUCGCCGGAUCGGACGGACGCUGUCGGGACAGGGGCGCGUGGGGGGAAGCAGUGCGCACGCCGAACCGAGCUGCAGCUCGUAGCUAGACUUGCACGCACGAACGUGGUACAGUAUGCCACACGCGCGUGCCGUCGCUCCUUUCUACGCUGCGCGCGCCGGAUCUUUCCAGCCUCUUGUCUCGUGUCUUCUUUUCUACGAGUGGCAUACGGUAUUUUUAUAUUUUUUAAUGUUAUUUUGCGUUUCUUUUUCCCUCGCCCAGCUUCGUCCUUCUUACAGCACGAACGAAACAGCAGAAGCGUGGCCGCCGUGUGGAUUCUGCGGCGGCCUGUCUAUCAUCGAUCGCUGCGUGCGCACGGGCAAUCUCGGUACCGGUACGUGACGGGUCGCAGCAUUUCCGGCUCGAGCGCCGUGUCCGGCCACGCCCAGCAGCUGCUCUACUCCCACGUGUGGUAGGACUAGUAUGAAUUUUUCCGAUUCAACUUUGAAUUCUGCUGAUUCUUACGACACGAAAAUGGUAUAACCGAUCAAGAGCUACUCCCUCCGUCCCAUAAUAUAAGAACGUUUUUGACACAACUAGUGUUGGUGUCAAAAACGUUAUUAUAUUAUAGGAAGGAGGGAGUAUUUUGUUGUUGUUCGCGGGACAAUAAAAACACACAGGAAUAGGAAAACGAGGAAUGCGGUGGCAUGUCCGCUCAGAUCCUAGAGAGUGUGUUCGACUGAACCAUGGAAAAACAAUAAAAAUGUUCGCAUGAGGUUGCAGUGGAUGCAAAUUUUCCUUUGAAAUGCAAUGCAACAAUUUCUUUUGGAAAAAAAAUCCUAUGUAUGAAAAAAUCAACAAAGAAAAAAAUUUCUAACGAUUAUGUAAUCCUCCAAGGUCUUUCAAUCGAAGGGACCCUUGGAGCAACUCUAGCAGAGUGGCCAUAGCACCAUAAGAUUUUGAAGGCUGCCAAGGCUUUCAUAAUUUUUCUUACAAGUGGGGCGCACCUGUCAUUGGGUCAUAGGUUCCUACCCAAGAAUUAAAAAUUCUGAAGAACACAUUCAAUACAAUCAAUUCCAUUCUUACAAGCGGGAGCAAAAAUCUAGUUAAGCCAUGCUAAAUAAUUAAUUAACUAGCUCCCAUAUGGCCAUGACCACGGUCAACAUAGAAUGAGGCAAGGCGAGCCUCCAUUGGCCCAGAAAUGUGCCUCAGCCGUCUAGUCCUUCCCCGGCCAAACCACUCCUCAGAGGCGUCGACCGAGGCCGGCCAUCCAUUGAUAUUGGUGGCAAGGCGGGCGCGGGAUCUCAAAUUCACCUCUCCCUUUCCGCCUCCUUCUGCCGCCACGCCUCUUUGGCCACCUCAUAGUUGGCCCAAUCUUUGACGAGGGGAUCCAGCUGCUCCUCCCUCACCUCAUCCCCAAAAUUGAAGACGAGGCAGAGCUCCUACGGGUGCACCAUUCAUGAGAAAGCAGGUGGUGGAUUGGAGGCGGUCGAGAUGAGAAUGAGAGGCGCCGGAGAGAGGAUUAAGGGCCUGUUUGGUUUAUGCCCCCAACACACCCUACCAAAAUAUUGGUCAUGCCAAAUUCCUUAUGUGUUGUUUGGUUUGUUGCCAAAUAUUUGGCUGCCAACGAAUCCAUUGUUGCUUCCUUCACAGAUUCUUACCAAAUCUUUGGCCAACCCUGGGCGUUGGAAUCCCACGCCAAAUAAUUGGCAAGCCAAUAUUGGCAGGGCAGCUAUAGGCAAGAACCAAACAUACCCUAAAAUGAUAGAGCGAUGGGCAUCGGCCUUUUUAUAGGCUGCCACACGCGCCAUUAAGGAGUCAGGUGGGGAGGCAGAAGGCGGCUGCCGACGGGCGGUCAAAGAAUCCAUCUCCCGGUGAGAAUGUUGCGGCGACCUGCUCACACGCUUCCCGACUCCCCACUUGGGUCCUCCCAGCUUGCUCACACGCAAGCCAGGAGAUGAUGUCGCGUGGCGGCCAUCCGAUUAGCUGCCAUGGGAAGACGAGGGAGCGAGGUCUGCGCCCGUUGCCGAUGGUGAGUGUGAGAUCAGGUUGCUUCAAAUCUCGCACGCAAUGCGAGGAUGGAGAAGCUGGAACUUCCCUCCCGCGCUGACAGAUGGGUUUGGAGCGAGCACUAUAGUGGACCUCCACGGCCUCCAAAUAUGGAGGCUGCAAGCUCAUUUUGAGCGAGCUUCAUAAACUAUGACGACCAGGAGGCAUAUGACAACUCUGCUAGAGUGUCAUUUUGGGCCAAAACACCAUAUUGACAAUUAUUAUGACAAUCAGGGUCAUAAGGCGACUCUCCUAGAGUUGCUCUUAGUUUUCAUUAAUGAUACUAAUCUUUUAUCACCAUCUGAAUUGGUGGUGUGAAAAUCGUUGACUAAUUUAUCCUUACAAGAUACUACUCCCUCCGUCUAGGUGUGUAAGUCAUAUUAGGAAGAGCAGCGCGACCUAGGUGGCUGGAGAUUGGACAAGGAGGAGCACCUCGACAAGGAAACCUCCAAUCACAGCGCUUUUUUAAACGGAAGAAAAACCAGCAUUGAUUCGCUAGUUAUUAGCUGCCGUUUGAGCUGGCCAUGCACGCCCGCGUAUGUAGUUGCAUGCAAAACCGUUUUAAUCUCUUGCCUAAUCAACACCCAGCCACGAUGCAUGCAGUGGUCCUUACCUUGCGGGCGCCUCCUCUUCCUGUUUUUCUACGAGGCUAGGAGAGAAACGAGGAAGGAAUUUAAUGUAUUGCGCCUAAGGCUUUUGGGAAUACCUAAUUUUCGUAAGGUGACUUAUACACCUAGACGGAGGGAGUACUCUUUACACAUUCACAUUGAUAUUUACACAUUAGAAAAUCCCUUUAUUUUUUAAAUUCAGAAAUAUAUUAUAGUACAGAUUAUCUGUAGAAGUUUUGUUUUUCAAGACGGUGCAAAUGCAGAAAAUGGCAUUGGCUUGCAAUUGGAUGACAUGAACGCAUUUCUUAUGUUGCUGUAUUUUCAGAGGCAUUUGGCUUGCUGAAAUCCUUGACUUGGAGUCUCAAGGAGAUGGUAUUUACACACCAUUUCAAAUUUUCUAAGAGACAUGUGAAUUAUUUCAAUUAUUUAUUAUGUUUGUACUAAAAUCCCCUCUAGUCUACAGCAUGCCCACCCUACCUCUUACCAACAACAUCUUUUAUCAACAAUAGAAUUGGCAGUGUAAAAUCAUUGAUUGAUUUAUCUUGAAAAGGUACCACUCUCUACACAUUCAUAUUCAUAUUUAUACAUAUUCAAAAAAUAUCCUUCUAUUUCUUAAGUUCAGAAAUAUGUUAUAGUAUGAAUUAUCUAUGAAGUUUAUUUUCCAAGACGGUGCAAAUGCCGAAAAUGGCAUUGGCUUGCAACUGGAUGACACAAAAGCAUUUCUUAAGUUGUUGUAUUUUCAGAGGUAUUUGGCUUGCUGAAAUCCUUGACUUGGAGUCUCAAGGAGCUGAUAUUUACACACCAUUUCAAAUUUCCUAGGAGACAUGUGAAUUAUUUGAAAUAUUUGGAUUAUUUUAUAUGUUUGUACUAAAAUCCCCUCUACCCUACUGCAUGCCCACCCUAUCCAGCACCAGACCCCAUGCACACCCCAAAGAUAAAGCCACAAAGAAAAGCGAGGGAGAGAAGACUCCAAAGCCCAAACCCCCACGCAAAGCCUGCUUUGUUAACUGAUUUGCUCCUCCUAAGAGGACACAAACCACAGGUUAGCCUCACCUUUUCCUCUUGGGUUUAGCAAGGCCAUCAGCUCAUGUCCUCCCCCACACACAACAUUAUCAGUUUCCCUAAGAAAAACACACAAUAUUAGCCUCUGUCCAUCAAACCCAUUUCUGUUACUAACCAAACCUUUUUUAAUAUAAAUAAAUAUAUUAAUAUAAGGUGACACACUCCUGUGGUUUCUUGUCCUGUUCCUUCUAGUUAGUUUCGCCCAUGUAGUGUAGUUUAUUUAGCCCUUACAGUUGUUAAUAUCCGUUGGGCUUUUUUAGGUCACAUUGCCCAACGCUUGAUGUCACCAUCCUGCAAAUAUUCAUGUGAAUUGGAGUGCUUGUCCCAAGGAUGAUAAGUUUCAACAGUAGGUGUGCCAUGGGAAAUUCCAAUUUGUCUCCUGGGAUGGACUUUGGCGCCAAACCUGCUUGGUUCAAAUUGGGGGACAUCUUAGUACCACAGCUAGUGCUGCUAGUCAACAUAAUGCUUCUUCUUCUGCCAUGGCACCAUGGAGGACUAGUUAAUCAUUUAGAGCUUGGGGUGCUAUGCUUUUAAGAAUGCUAAUCAUUCCAAAGUGUCCAUGCCCUAAAUACGUUAGGUGUGCCCUUUUAUGCCAACAUUUGAAUGGCAGCAGAGGCGAUCAUGACGUUUGGGGCAUAGUUUUGUACAGUAUCAGCAGACGAAUGGCCAGUGGCAGGUCACGCUGCCAGAGCUUUGGCUUGCUUGCAACCCAAGGGAAAGAGAUCUGCAAAAGGUGUACGUCUUCAUUUGUAGUAGUACGUACGUACGUACAUGUUGGAAACCCCACUCAAUCUAGCUAGCUAUAGUAGCCAGCAGUCUUGCUUGCUUGCUUGCAGCAGGUGAAGUCUCUCGUCUCCUCCUCGUGCUGUACUGUUGUGGCAUGCGGGCAGUUAUGGUGAUGUGUGAGGUACAGGCCAGCAGCAGCAGUUCUUGGGAGUUUUGUGAGGUACAAGUCACCGGGUCAGAUGACCAAACAGUUAUUUAUUCGGAGUUUGAAUGGGUUCCUCGUCAGGCCAACUCCGGAGCACGACUCCAAACGUAGGUCCAUUCUAUCCGAAUUUCGUCCGUUUAGGAUGGCAAUAGAUAGUAAAAUGGACAUGUGCGUCCGCUCGUUGUUGGAGGCGCCCAACACGGCGGCCGAACACAAAAUGUCCGCCUGCACUUCAGCGCCUCGCCCACUCACCACCGCGCGCUCGCCAUGCCCGCGCGUCUGCACCCUGCAGCAGCCCGCCACGCCCGCUCGCGCUGCUCGCCGCGCCAGCCCGCAGCUGCAGCCCUCGCCCNNNNNNNNNNNNNNNNNNNNNNNNNNNNNNNNNNNNNNNNNNNNNNNNNNNNNNNNNNNNNNNNNNNNNNNNNNNNNNNNNNNNNNNNNNNNNNNNNNNNNNNNNNNNNNNNNNNNNNNNNNNNNNNNNNNNNNNNNNNNNNNNNNNNNNNNNNNNNNNNNNNNNNNNNNNNNNNNNNNNNNNNNNNNNNNNNNNNNNNNNNNNNNNNNNNNNNNNNNNNNNNNNNNNNNNNNNNNNNNNNNNNNNNNNNNNNNNNNNNNNNNNNNNNNNNNNNNNNNNNNNNNNNNNNNNNNNNNNNNNNNNNNNNNNNNNNNNNNNNNNNNNNNNNNNNNNNNNNNNNNNNNNNNNNNNNNNNNNNNNNNNNNNNNNNNNNNNNNNNNNNNNNNNNNNNNNNNNNNNNNNNNNNNNNNNNNNNNNNNNNNNNNNNNNNNNNNNNNNNNNNNNNNNNNNNNNNNNNNNNNNNNNNNNNNNNNNNNNNNNNNNNNNNNNNNNNNNNNNNNNNNNNNNNNNNNNNNNNNNNNNNNNNNNNNNNNNNNNNNNNNNNNNNNNNNNNNNNNNNNNNNNNNNNNNNCGCCCACCACCACGCCCAGCAGCCGCGCCCCCGCCGCCCGUCGCCCACCACCACGCCCGCAGCCGCGCCUCGCCGCCCACCACAUCGCCCCGUCGUGCCCGCACCCCGGUGCUGCAGCUGGAGCUCGCCUUCGAGCUCCCGCACGUGGAGGUGGCCGCCGGCUGCAAAAGGGGAGAGAGAGGGACGGGUGGGCGGGCAGCCGGGCCCAUCUGGUUCCAAUGACAGAUGGGUCAGGGGUCACAUGUAAAGAACACAGCCGGACAAGGACCACGCUGAGAAUCGUCCGCUCGUGUCCGUUCCAGACGCAAAUCCGGCCUAACUUUGCUCCCAGGAUGGGGCGAGACGGACCAGAAACGGACACUUUUUACGGAUAAGAUUGCGCGUUGGGUCGUCACAUUUGUCCGUUUAACCCCAAACGGACAUACCCGGACAUUUUGGGGUCGCGCGAUGGAGAUGGCCUCACACCUCUUUUCUUUCUCUGCAUUGUUGCAAACAGUUCUUCAGAGGAGUUUGAAUGGAUUCUUUGUUUCUUGCAGUACCUCCUGAUUCCUUAAUGGCACAGAUAAAAAUUAAAAUCAUCUAAAAAAAGGUAAAACUUAAAUAAUAAAAAGGUGUGUGCAGUUUCAGCCGCACGCGCGUUUAUCACUUGGAAUUGUUUUUCCAGAUUGAACAUUUGUAAUUAUUCAGAGUUUCAGAUAGAUAUAUGUAUGGAACUGACAGCAGCAUAUGUAGAGGAGGCAUAGGAUCAGUCCAAUCAGAGAAGAGAAGAAAAAAAACAUCUUUCUUUCUUUUGUGAAACCCAAAGGAGAUCCCUGGCAGGGAGAAAGACAUGGGUGCGCUCACGGACCAGGAUGUGUAUACAGCAUCUUCAUCAGGAUGCGUGAAUGCUCUCUGGUCUUUCAGCUCCUUUGAUGCUUUGACAUGAUGACAUGAGUAAUCCACGUUCGCUGUUCUCUCUGUCUCUCCCUCUCUCUGCUUCACAAAACCUGUGCUAAAACCAAGGCUCCUCCAAGAGAGGUAGGUAUGGAGAGAAACCUCCAUGAAAUCCAAAGGAAAAACUUUCUCUGCAUUGAGUCCAGAUUUUGUAAGCUUGCAGUGCACACAUGCAUGCACAGGCAGAGAAGGCAAUUCUUCCAGGGGGCAGACCAGGCAUGGGCAUGGCCACAGUGCAUGCAGCAUGCCAAUACAAGGCGCCAUGGAGGUGACCUGUCUUAGGUUUCCAUAGGUUAGGCCACAGCCUCACAGGUUGUGUGUGCUAGCCACUGUUAGCCACAGUAGGAUGCUAGUAUAGGUUGCUGCAGCGGCACAUCUCCUCCUGCCUGGCUUUGGUCUGGGAGGAUCUUGACCGCCAUGGAUUGAGUGAGUGAGUGGAGCACUGGACCCGGACCGGCAGCAGCAGCAGCAGUGGGAUCGGCUCAAGUUUAUCUUGACUGAAUUUGAACUGGGUCAGGCUGUUCAAAGAUAAGGCCGCUCAGAUGCUAGAUGCUGAUGCAGCCAUCAUCAUUACCACCAUCAUUGCCAUGGAGUUUGCUCCAAUGUUGCUGUGGUCAUCAUGGCAGGCAACAGACAAGAGGCACUCUCUUCACAGCAAUCAGCUCUGUUUCUGCUUCUUCUCCCUCUGUCUCUGUGUGGAGACUGCAGCUUUGACCCUUUGUGUGGACUGGCCCCCCUGUCCGCGUGCUGUCCUGGUCAAUGGGCUAAGCAAAUGGAGGACCAACUCAGGCCCAAGGUCCACCCACCUAGUAGUACACAGAAGCAACCUUCUGAUGCCUUGAUGGCCUGGCCCAGUUGCUCAUGCAGCUGGCUUAGCUAAUAUACAUGAUGUCUGCUGUUUCUCAAAAAAAGAAAAUGACGUCUGCUAAAAAAAGCUAACACUGUAAUACAUGAUGUUGUUUAAAAAAGGCUAAGGGCUCCUUUGAUUCAAAGGAAUUUUAUAGGAUUUCUGGAGGAUUGAAAUCCUUAGGAUUUUUUCCUAUGUUGGUUCUUUGAUUCAUAGGAUUGAAUCCCAUAGGAAUUUUUUCUAUGGAUUCUUCUGUACUACAUUUCAUAGGAAAUCUAACAUCCACUCUAAUCUUUUUCUAUAUUUUCUUUGUUUUUCAUGUGCCAUUAAACACUCCUUGUUAAUCCUAUAGGAUUUAAGUGGGCAUGCCACUUCAAUCCUGUACUUUUCCCAUUCCUACGUUUUCAAAAUCCUACGAAUCAAAGAGGCCCUAAUACAUGAUGCUCCAUAAUAUAAUGUAUUCUUUUUGAAAAUUAAUAACCUUACUUCAAACAGAUGGCUUCGCAUUUUCUGUGAUAUAAAAGAGUAGUAGUCUGUACUAACCGUAAAUCAGGGACAGAGAACUUUGCAAUUUCUUUGAAGUAGUAGAAAGGGUGCAGUCUGUAGCCCAGUUGUGCCACAAAUAAAAUGCAACUCCCUCCGUUCACUUUUAUAAGACCAACUUCACCGCACGAUCCCAAACGGACGUCCGUUUUGUCCGGAUUCUAUCCGUUUGGGUAGGGCGAUGGGGUCAUGUCUGGGCCUGUCCUGGGAUGCGGUGGCCGUGCUCCCAGCAUGCGGACGCAUCCCGGCCGCAUCCUGUCCGCGUACAUUUUUCUUUGCAAGUCCUUAACUUCUUUUCAUCGUCAUUCAUUUUCGGUACAUAAAAAAUACAUCAUCACAUUUUGACUAGUAAAGCAAGACCAAAAAAACAAGAACAGCAAAAAUACAUUUUAGAAGAUACCCAACUUCCAUAACUGCUCCCUUAAGUUGGGUUAGGGCCUUCUCGAUGCACUCAUUGUUGAUCUAUGGAGGAGGCUCGAUCUGGCAUCCUCCUUUCUUCUUCAAGCCAGAACUCGAUGUUGCUUCCUCACACCUAGUCUCCUGUCUAGCCUCUAAUCUAGCAACAAGUGCACGUGUCUCAUCUACAGCCUCUAUGCUAGCUAAAAGUGCACGAACAUGUACUAAAUUUCGCUCUAUCAAUAUAUCGAUGUACUCUUCUUUCCAAUACCAAAACUUGCAUCCAUGCUACACAAUAAAAUUUGUAGUUAGCACAACUAGUCAAAACUAGAGCACAAACCGAAGCUAAAAAGAGAACAUACCCCAUCGUUUAAGCACUUGAUGAACACCCAUCCGGGAUGUUCCGGUGUUGUAGACACGCGGCGCAUGACCAUCCUUGGGCAGUGGUCGCACUUAAUGAGUGGCAACGGUGCACCGGCGAGCUUUUGGGCAAGCACCGAGCCCGGCCGACCGCCAUUCGUGUAUCUGCCGGCGGACUGUUGGAAAUAUGCCCUAGAGACAAUAAUAAAUGGUCAUUAUUAUAUUUCUUUGUUCAUGGUAAUUGUCUAUUGUUCAUGCUAUAAUUGUGUUAUCCGGAAAUCGUAAUACAUGUGUGAAUACAUAGACCACAACGUGUCCCUAGUAAGCCUCUAGUUGACUAACUCGUUGAUCAACAGAUAGUCAUGGUUUCCUGACUAUGGACAUUGGAUGUCAUUGAUAACGGGAUCACAUCAUUAGGAGAAUGAUGUGAUGGACAAGACCCAAUCCUAAGCAUAGCAUAAAAGAUCGUGUAGUUUCGUUUGCUAGAGCUUUUCCAAUGUCAAGUAUCUUUUCCUUAGACCAUGAGAUCGUGCAACUCCCGGAUACCGUAAGAGUGCUUUGGGUGUGCCAAACGUCACAACGUAACUGGGUGACUAUAAAGGUGCACUACGGGUAUCUCCGAAAGUGUCUGUUGGGUUGGCACGGAUCGAGACUGGGAUUUGUCACUCCGUAUGACGGAGAGGUAUCUCUGGGCCCACUCGGUAGUGCAUCAUCAUAAUGAGCUCAAUGUGACUAAGGCGUUAGUCACGGGAUCAUGCAUUGCGGUACGAGUAAAGAGACUUGCCGGUAACGAGAUUGAACAAGGUAUUGGGAUACCGACGAUCGAAUCUCGGGCAAGUAACAUACCGAUUGACAAAGGGAAUUGUAUACGGGAUUGAUUGAAUCCUCGACAUCAUGGUUCAUCCGAUGAGAUCAUCGUGGAACAUGUGGGAGCCAACAUGGGUAUCCAGAUCCCGCUGUUGGUUAUUGACCGGAGAGGCGUCUCGGUCAUGUCUGCAUGUCUCCCGAACCCGUAGGGUCUACACACUUAAGGUUCGGUGACGCUAGGGUUGUAGAGAUAUGAGUAUGCGGAAACCCGAAAGUUGUUCGGAGUCCCGGAUGAGAUCCCGGACGUCACGAAGAGUUACGGAAUGGUCCGGAGGUGAAGAAUUAUAUAUAGGAAGUCAAGUUUCGGCCACCGGGAAAGUUUCGGGGGUUACCGGUAUUGUACCGGGACCACCGGAAGGGUCCCGGGGGUCCACCGGGUGGGGCCACCUGUCCCGGAGGGCCCCAUGGGCUGAAGUGGGAGGGAAACCAGUCCUUAGUGGGCUGGGGCGCCCCCCAUGGGCCUUCCCCCUGCGCCUAGGGUUGGAAACCCUAGGGUGGGGGGCGCCCCACUUGCCUUGGGGGGCAAGUCUUCCCCCAUGGCCGCCGCCCCCCAUCCAGAUGGGAUCCUGGCCGGCGCCCCCCCUCCCAGGGGGCCUAUAUAAAGGGGGGAGGGAGGGCAGUAGUAUUACAGCCUUGGGCGCCUCCAUCCUCCCCUGCAACACCUCUCCCUCUCACAGAAGCUCGGCGAAGCCCUGCCGAGACCCGCUACAUCCACCACCACGCCGUCGUGCUGCUGGAUCUCCAUCAACCUCUCCUUCCCCUUGCUGGAUCAAGAAGGAGGAGACGUCGCUGCACCGUACGUGUGUUGAACGCGGAGGUGCCGUCCGUUCGGCACUCGGUCAUCGGUGACUUGAAUCACGGCGAGUACGACUCCGUCAUCCACGUUCAUUGGAACGCUUCCGCUCGCGAUCUACAAGGGUAUGUAGAUGCACUCCUUUCCCCUCGUUGCUAGUAUACUCCAUAGAUGGAUCUUGGUGAGCGUAGAAAAAUUUUAAAAUUAUGCUACGAUUCCUAACAGUGGCAUCAUGAGCCAGGCCUAUGCGUAGUUACUAUGCACGAGUAGAACACAAAGCAGUUGUGGGCGUUGAUGUUGCCAAUUCUUCUUGCCGCUACUAGUCUUGUCUUGUUUCGGCGGUAUUGUGGGAUGAAGCGGCCCGGACCGACCUUACACGUACGCUUACGUGAGACAGGUUCCACCGACUGACAUGCACUAGAUGCAUAAGGUGGCUAGCGGGUGUCUGUCUCUCCUACUUUAGUCGGAACGGACUCGAUGAAAAGGGUCCUUAUGAAGGGUAAAUAGAAAUUGGCAAAUCACGUUGUGGUUUUACGUAGGUAAGAAACGUUCUUGCUAGAAACCUAUACAAGCCACGUAAAAAAACUUGCAACAACAAUUAGAGGACGUCUAACUUGUUUUUGCAGCAAGUGCUAUGUGAUGUGAUAUGGCCAGAAGAUGUGAUGAAUGAUAUAUGUGAUGUAUGAGAUUGAUCAUAUUCUUGUAAUAGGAAUCACGACUUGCAUGUCGAUGAGUAUGACAACCGGCAGGAGCCAUAGGAGUUGUCUUUAUUAUUUUGUAUGACCUGCGUGUCAUUGAAUAACGCCAUGUAAAUUACUUUACUUUGUUGCUAAACGCGUUAGCCAUAGAAGUAGAAGUAAUUGUUGGCGUGACGACUUCAUGAAGACACAAUGAUGGAGAUCAUGGUGUCAUGCCGGUGACGAAGAUGAUCAUGGUGCCCCGAAGAUGGAGAUCAAAGGAGCAUAAUGAUAUUGGCCAUAUCAUGUCACUAUUUGAUUGCAUGUGAUGUUUAUCAUGUUUUGCAUCUUAUUUGCUUAGAACGACGGUAGUAAGUAAGAUGAUCCCUUAUAUUAAUUUCAAGAAAAGUGUUCCCCCUAACUGUGCACCGUUGAGAAGGUUCGUUGUUUCGAAGCACCACGUGAUGAUCGGGUGUGAUAGAUUCUAACGUUCGCAUACAACGGGUGUUGACGAGCCUAGCAUGUACAGACAUGGCCUCGGAACACACGCAAUACACUUAGGUUGACUUGACGAGCCUAGCAUGUACAGACAUGGCCUCGGAACACGGAGGACCGAAAGGUCGAGUAUGAGUCGUAUAGAAGAUACGAUCAACAUGGAGAUGUUCACCGAUCUUGACUAGUCCGUCUCACGUGAUGAUCGGACACGGCCUAGUUAACUCGGAUCAUGUUUCACUUAGAUGACUAGAGGGAUGUCUAUCUGAGUGGGAGUUCAUUGAGUAAUUUGAUUAGAUGAACUUAAUUAUCAUGAACUUAGUCUAAAAUCUAUACACUAUGUCUUGUAGAUCAAAUGGCCCACGUUGUCCUCAAUUUCAACGCGUUCCUAGAGAAAACCAAGCUGAAAGAUGAUGGCAGCAACUAUACGGACUGGGUCCGGAACCUGAGGAUCAUCCUCAUAGCAGCCAAGAAAGAUUAUGUCUUAGAAGCACCGCUAGGUGAAGCACCAAUCCCAGAGAACCAAGACGUUAUGAACGCUUGGCAAUCACGUGCUGAUGAUUACUCCCUCGUUCAGUGCGGCAUGCUUUACAGCUUAGAACCGGGUCUCCAAAAGCGUUUUGAGAAACAUGGAGCAUAUGAGAUGUUCGAGGAGCUGAAAAUGGUUUUCCAAGCUCAUGCCCGGGUCAAGAGAUAUGAAGUCUCCGACAAGUUCUUCAGCUGUAAAAUGGAGGAGAAUAGUUCUGUUAGUGAGCACAUACUCAGAAUGUCUGGGUUACACAACCGCUUGUCUCAGCUGGGAGUUAAUCUCCCGGAUGAUGCGGUCAUUGACAGAAUCCUUCAGUCGCUUCCACCAAGCUACAAGAGCUUUGUGAUGAACUUCAAUAUGCAGGGGAUGGAAAAGACCAUUCCCGAGGUAUAUUCAAUGCUGAAAUCAGCGGAGGUGGAGAUCAGAAAAGAACAUCAAGUGUUGUUGGUGAAUAAAACCACUAAGUUCAAGAAGGGCAAGGGUAAGAAGAACUUCAAGAAGGACGGCAAGGGAGUUGCCGCGCCCGGUAAGCCAGUUACUGGGAAGAAGUCAAAGAAUGGACCCAAGCCUGAAACUGAGUGCUUUUUUUGCAAGGGAAGUGGUCACUGGAAGCGGAACUGCCCCAAAUACUUAGCGGACAAGAAGGCCGGCAACGCCAAAGGUAUAUGUGAUAUACAUGUAAUUGAUGUGUACCUUACCAGUACUAGUAGUAGCUCCUGGGUAUUUGAUACCGGUGCGGUUGCUCAUAUUUGUAACUCAAAACAGGAACUACGGAAUAAACGGAGACUGGCGAAGGACGAGGUGACGGUGCGCGUCGGGAAUGGUUCCAAGGUCGAUGUGAUCGCCGUCGGCACGCUACCUUUGCAUCUACCUACGGGAUUAGUUUUAAACCUCAAUAAUUGUUAUUUAGUGCCAGCUUUGAGCAUGAACAUUGUAUCUGGAUCUCGUUUAAUUCGAGAUGGCUACUCAUUUAAAUCCGAGAAUAAUGGUUGUUCUAUUUAUAUGAGAGAUAUGUUUUAUGGUCAUGCCUCGCUGGUUAAUGGUUUAUUCUUGAUGAAUCUCGAACGUGAUGUUACACAUAUUCAUAGUGUGAAUACCAAAAGAUGUAAAGUUGAUAACGAUAGUCUCACAUACUUGUGGCACUGCCGCCUUGGUCACAUUGGUGUCAAGCGCAUGAAGAAGCUCCAUGCAGAUGGACUUUUGGAGUCUCUUGAUUACGAAUCAUUUGACACGUGCGAACCAUGCCUCAUGGGUAAGAUGACCAAGACACCGUUCUCCGGAACAAUGGAGCGAGCAACCAACUUAUUGGAAAUCAUACAUACCGAUGUGUGCGGUCCAAUGAGUGUUGAGGCUCGCGGAGGAUAUCGUUAUGUUCUCACUCUCACUGAUGACUUAAGUAGAUAUGGGUAUGUCUACCUAAUGAAACACAAGUCUGAAACCUUUGAAAAGUUCAAGGAAUUUCAGAGUGAGGUUGAGAAUCAACGUGACAGAAAAAUAAAAUUCUUACGAUCAGAUCGUGGUGGAGAAUAUUUAAGUCACGAAUUUGGUACACACUUCAGGAAAUGUGGAAUAGUUUCACAACUCACGCCGCCUGGAACACCUCAGAGAAAUGGUGUGUCCGAACGUCAUAAUCGCACUCUAUUGGAUAUGGUGCGAUCUAUGAUGUCUCUUACCGAUUUACCGCUCUCAUUUUGGGGCUAUGCUUUAGAGACUGCUGCAUUCACUUUAAAUAGGGCUCUGUCGAAAUCCGUUGAGACGACACCGUAUGAAUUAUGGUUUGGAAAGAAACCUAAGCUGUCGUUUCUAAAAGUUUGGGGAUGCGAUGCUUAUGUCAAGAAACUUCAACCUGAAAAGCUCGAACCCAAGUCGGAGAAAUGCGUCUUCAUAGGAUACCCUAAGGAAACUAUUGGGUAUACCUUCUACCUCAGAUCCGAAGGCAAGAUCUUCGUUGCCAAGAACGGGUCCUUUCUGGAGAAGGAGUUUCUCUCGAAAGAAUUGAGUGGGAGGAAAGUGGAACUUGAUGAGGUGAUAGUCACCCCUUCCGAACCGGAAAGUAGCGCAGUGCGGGAAAAUGUUCCUGUGGUGCCUACACCGACUGGGGAGGAAGUUAAUGAUGAUGAUCAUGAAGCUUCGGAUCAAGUUACUACUGAACUUCGUAGGUCCACAAGGACACGUUCCGCACCAGAGUGGUACGGCAACCCUGUCCUGGAAAUCAUGUUGUUAGACAACGGUGAACCUUCGAACUAUGAAGAAGCGAUGGCGGGCCCGGAUUCCGACAAAUGGCUAGAAGCCAUGAAAUCCGAGAUACGAUCCAUGUAUGAAAACGAAGUAUGGACUUUGACUGACUUGCCCGAUGAUCGGCGAGCCAUAGAAAACAAAUGGAUCUUUAAGAAGAAGACAGACGCGGAUGGUAAUGUGACCAUCUAUAAGGCUCGACUUGUCGCUAAGGGUUAUCGACAAGUUCAAGGGGUUGACUACGAUGAGACUUUCUCAACCGUAGCGAAGCUGAAGUCCGUCUGAAUCAUGUUAGCAAUUGCCGCAUACUAUGAUUAUGAGAUAUGGCAGAUGGACGUCAAAACGGCAUUCCUUAAUGGCUUCCUUAAGGAAGAGUUGUAUAUGAUGCAGCCGGAAGGUUUUGUCGAUCCUAAGAAUGCUGACAAAGUAUGCAAGCUCCAGCGCUCAAUCUAUGGGCUGGUGCAAGCAUCUCGGAGUUGGAACAUUCGCUUUGAUGAGAUGAUCAAAGCGUUUGGGUUUACACAGACUUAUGGAGAAGCCUGUGUUUACAAGAAAGUGAGUGGGAGCUCUGUAGCAUUUCUCUUAUUAUAUGUGGAUGACAUAUUAUUGAUGGGAAAUGAUAUAGAAUUCUUGGAAAGUAUAAAGGCCUAUUUGAAUAAGUGUUUUUCAAUGAAGGACCUUGGAGAAGCUGCUUAUAUAUUAGGCAUCAAAAUCUAUAGAGAUAGAUCAAGACGCCUCAUUGGUCUUUCACAGAGUACAUACCUUGACAAGAUAUUGAAGAAGUUCAAUAUGGAUCAGUCCAAGAAGGGGUUCUUGCCUGUAUUGCAAGGUGUGCAAUUGAGCACGGCUCAAUGCCCGACCACGGCAGAAGAUAGAGAAAAGAUGAGUGUCAUCCCCUAUGCCUCGGCCAUAGGGUCUAUUAUGUAUGCCAUGCUGUGUACCAGACCUGAUGUAAACCUUGCCGUAAGUUUGGUAGGAAGAUACCAAAGUAAUCCCGGCAUGGAACACUGGACAGCGGUCAAGAAUAUCCUGAAGUACCUGAAGAGGACUAAGGAUAUGUUUCUCGUUUAUGGAGGUGACGAAGAGCUCGUCGUAAAGGGUUACGUCGACGCUAGCUUCGACACAGAUCUGGAUGACUCGAAGUCACAAACCGGAUACGUGUAUAUUUUGAAUGGAGGGGCAGUAAGCUGGUGCAGUUGCAAGCAAAGCGUCGUGGCGGGAUCUACAUGUGAAGCGGAGUACAUGGCAGCCUCGGAGGCAGCACAGGAAGCAGUCUGGAUGAAGGAGUUCAUUACCGACCUAGGGGUGAUUCCCAAUGCGUCGGGCCCGAUGACUCUCUUUUGUGACAACACUGGAGCUAUUGCCCUUGCGAAGGAGCCCAGGUUUCACAGGAAGACCAGGCAUAUCAAGCGUCGCUUCAACUCCAUUCGUGAAAGUGUUCAAAAUGGAGACAUAGAUAUUUGUAAAGUACAUACGGACCUGAAUGUAGCAGAUCCGUUGACUAAACCUCUCCCUAGAGCAAAACAUGAUCAACACCAGGACGCAAUGGGUGUUCGAUUCAUCACAAUGUAACUAGAUUAUUGACUCUAGUGCAAGUGGGAGACUGUUGGAAAUAUGCCCUAGAGGCAAUAAUAAAUGGUCAUUAUUAUAUUUCUUUGUUCAUGGUAAUUGUCUAUUGUUCAUGCUAUAAUUGUGUUAUCCGGAAAUCGUAAUACAUGUGUGAAUACAUAGACCACAACGUGUCCCUAGUAAGCCUCUAGUUGACUAACUCGUUGAUCAACAGAUAGUCAUGGUUUCCUGACUAUGGACAUUGGAUGUCAUUGAUAACGGGAUCACAUCAUUAGGAGAAUGAUGUGAUGGACAAGACCCAAUCCUAAGCAUAGCAUAAAAGAUCGUGUAGUUUCGUUCGCUAGAGCUUUUCCAAUGUCAAGUAUCUUUUCCUUAGACCAUGAGAUCGUGCAACUCCCGGAUACCGUAAGAGUGCUUUGGGUGUGCCAAACGUCACAAUGUAACUGGGUGACUAUAAAGGUGCACUACGGGCAUCUCCGAAAGUGUCUGUUGGGUUGGCACGGAUCGAGACUGGGAUUUGUCACUCCGUAUGACGGAGAGGUAUCUCUGGGCCCACUCGGUAGUGCAUCAUCAUAAUGAGCUCAAUGUGACUAAGGCGUUAGUCACGGGAUCAUGCAUUGCGGUACGAGUAAAGAGACUUGCCGGUAACGAGAUUGAACAAGGUAUUGGGAUACCGACGAUCGAAUCUCGGGCAAGUAACAUACCGAUUGACAAAGGGAAUUGUAUACGGGAUUGAUUGAAUCCUCGACAUCAUGGUUCAUCCGAUGAGAUCAUCGUGGAACAUGUGGGAGCCAACAUUGGUAUCCAGAUCCCGCUGUUGGUUAUUGACCGGAGAGGCGUCUCGGUCAUGUCUGCAUGUCUCCCGAACCCGUAGGGUCUACACACUUAAGGUUCGGUGACGCUAGGGUUGUAGAGAUAUGAGUAUGCGGAAACCCGAAAGUUGUUCGGAGUCCCGGAUGAGAUCCCGGACGUCACGAGGAGUACCGGAAUGGUCCGGAGGUGAAGAAUUAUAUAUAGGAAGUCAAGUUUCGGCCACCGGGAAAGUUUCGGGGGUUACCGGUAUUGUACCGGGACCACCGAAAGGGUCCCGGGGGUCCACCGGGUGGGGCCACCUGUCCCGGAGGGCCCCAUGGGCUGAAGUGGGAGGGCAACCAGUCCUUAGUGGGCUGGGGCGCCCCCCAUGGGCCUUCCCCCUGCGCCUAGGGUUGGAAACCCUAGGGUGGGGGGCGCCCCACUUGCCUUGGGGGGCAAGUCUUCCCCCCUGGCCGGCGCCCCCCCCCCCUCCCAGGGGGCCUAUAUAAAGGGGGGGAGGGAGGGCAGUAGUAUUACAGCCUUGGGCGCCUCCCUCCUCCCCUGCUACACCUCUCCCUCUCGCAGAAGCUCGGCGAAGCCCUGCCGAGACCCGCUACAUCCACCACCACGCCGUCGUGCUGCUGGAUCUCCAUCAACCUCUCCUUCCCCUUGCUGGAUCAAGAAGGAGGAGACGUCGCUGCACCGUACGUGUGUUGAACGCGGAGGUGCCGUCCGUUCGGCACUCGGUCAUCGGUGACUUGAAUCACGGCGAGUACGACUCCGUCAUCCACGUUCAUUGGAACGCUUCCGCUCGCGAUCUACAAGGGUAUGUAGAUGCACUCAUUUUCCCUCGUUGCUAGUAUACUCCAUAGAUGGAUCUUGGUGAGCGUAGGAAAAUUUUAAAAUUAUGCUACGAUUCCCAACACGGACCACCGACGGUGCAGAUCCGAGCGGCUAGAGGAGGAGCCACUGCCUGCAUGUGGCCUUGCGGCCCUGCCAGGGCCUUCCGGCGAGGUGCCCGGCCAGUCCAUGGCGCGGCCCGGCCUCCCACAGCCAGGCGAGCGCAAGACCAACCGGAUCCGCCCCAAAUCCGGCCGGCGGGUGCGCAAACCAGGUGGUCGUGGUUGGGUAGCUCAACGGCGCCGAGGGGAAGGGGCUGGGCGAGCGCGCGUCCGAACUGCACGGCUGCAAUGGCAACGGCGGCGGUAGCGAGGGGAAUAGUGGGGAAGAGUGGAGGAGGGUGCGGCCAAAGGGAGGGAGGGGGCGGAUAGAAAAAGGCCCGCCCUGUGCCGCCGACGGGCGGGCCAGGGGAGGACACGCGCAGACGGCCCGCGCUUCUGCGUGGUGUCCGUUUCACCCCAAAAGCGGCGCAAACUUGGGCCGCGGAUGGGUAGAAAGCGGACACAAAACAGACAAAAGUCCGUUUGCUCCCGCGCGCUGGGCCACCUCGUUUGUCCGUUUUACCCCAAACGAACGGGGGCGGACAGGAUAGGGUCGCGCGGUGGAGUUGGCCUAAGACCCUUUAUACGUCGACCAUCACGUUCGCCCACGUUUAUGGAAUUUCCGUGUUUUCUAAAUAUACCCUCGGUGUCAGUCGCUCUGUCGCAUUCCCCUUCACCCGCUCGCUCGCCUUCGACCUGUGGUGAGCGAGUGGCGAUGGCAUCGUCGGAGGCCAAUCGAGUGAGGCUGUGUGCGGCUGAACUGACGCGUGAGGCAAGCGAGGGCACGGAUACAGUAUGGCCAUGGCGGAAAGCGGCAGCAGCAACCUGGCGCGGCCGGACGGGCACUGACGCUCCGGAUCUAAGCAGUUGAUAUUUUCCAGCGGGAGCACGACGAGCGGAUGUGCUUCCCAUUGGUUCAUCACAAACGUAAUUUGAAAUUCAAACUGAAAAGCGGUAGAAAUGUCUUUUCGCACUGUUUUGGGCGGUGAGUACUAUGCAGUAAUGUUUCAUUUCGCAUUAGCAUAGCCAAAAUGGCACAUCAAAUCCAACUGAUCACGCCUGACCUAGCUGCUCAUGCAGGUAAUACAUGAUGCUCAAUUAUAUCCUCUUGUAGUUCUUAAAAAAAAAUUCUCUUGUAAGCUGAAAAACAGUAUGUCCUCUUGUUAGAUUGAAAAAUUAUAUCCUGCUAGUACUAACAGAAUAUAACAUUAUAUCCUCUAGCUACACCUGUCCCUGGUUUCCUUUCAAAAUAUAAAAUAAAAAUAGAAUAUAUUUUCUUUCAAAAAUAACAGCCUCAGUUGAAAGUUGAUCAGUCUGAUGUAAAAGAGUGCAGCAAACCAGGGACUGGCAGGUGCAGCAAGAGGCACGACAGCGAGUAAAACGAUACUAUGUAGUAAUAUUUCAUUUCCCAUUGGCAUGGCCAAAAUGGUACCUCCCACUGAGUCCAUUACAAAAUUCUGAUGACUUAACAGAGCAUGCGGCAUA
rnacentral:lncRNA from 1 species